rnacentral:lncRNA from 1 species
GUAAUAUUUUAUAUAGUAACUAUUAUUUCUAUAAAAGAAAAUUUUCUUUACUGAUAUUUGAUUGUGUCACGAUAAAAGUAAAAGUAAAGAGAGAAGAAAAAAAAAUAGGGGAGAGAAAGUGAUCGAGAUAGAAAGUAAGAGAAAGGGAGGAGAGAGAAGUGAAGAAUUAGAGAAAGUGCAAAAAAAGAAAGUGCAAAAAAGAGAGAAUGUGAAUAGAAAAAAGAUGAGAACUAAGGAGAGGGAAGGUGAAGGUGAUAAAGCAAGAAUAGAGGAACGAAGGAGAAAGAGAAAAUAAGGAGAGAGAAUGUGAAGAGACAGUGAGGAGAGCGAAAAUAAGGAGAGAGAAAGUGAAGAGACAUGAGGAGAGAGAUCUAGAGUGAGGAGAAAAAAAAACAAAAAGAGUGAAGAAAGAAGAGAGUGAGGCGAGAGAAAAAAGAAAGUGAAGAAAAAGAAACCGAAUAGAGAUAAAAUAAGAAGAGAGAAAAGGGAUACAAAGAGAAAAGAAAGAAAGAUAAUGUAAGGAAGAGAGAGGAGAGAGAAAAUAAAGAGAGAAAUUAGGAGAGAUAAAGUAAGGAGAGAGAAAGUGAAGGAAGAGAAAAUAAGGAGAGAGAAUGGAAGAAGAGAUAAAGAAAAAAAGAAUAGGAGAGAAAGUAAGGAGAAAAAAAAAAAAGAAGAGUGAGAAAGUAAGGAGGGAGAAAAUAAGAGAAUGAUAUACCAAGAUUCAAAAUUUUCUCACUUUUAUCAACUCUUUUUUUUUUUUUAAUUUGGCUAAUUGUACUUUAGCUCUUGUCUCAAUUACCUCCCUACAUAUAAAUAGUGUCAAUUAUCCUCCUACACUUUGUCCUCAAAUAGGUUCAGCUAUUUGGAAUAUUUGAUAGAUGUUAUUAUUUACUCGCGCAUAUACACACUUCAAAUCAAUCAUAUUUAUAUGGCAUAAGUUGGUAAAGUGUUUAGUUAGGAGAAGUAUGGCAAUGUGCUAUUGAAAUAAGAACUAAGCUAAAUGCUUCAAAAAGCACUACUACUUGGUACUUAUAAUUUUUUAGUCUUUGGAUCAAUAUUUUUGGUCAUUGGAUCAAAAGCCAAUAAUGAUGGUUAAUUACUUGUAUGGUCCAUCUAUGCAUGAUCCAAAAGUGCGGUUAGAAUAAAUCCAACGGCUACCCCAAGUCAAACUCUUAAAAUUAGUUUAACCAACUUCAGCUUUUAGCUUUUAUGCUAUGUAUAGAUAUUUGAUUAGAUGUAGUUAUUUUGAAAAAGAUAUAUGUCAAAUCAAUUAUAUUUGUACUAUAUAUGCAAGUUAGUAAAACGACUAGUUGGGAGGAAUAUAGUAAUUUCAUGUUGAAAUAAUCGUUAAAUAAAAAUUUUUUUUUUUUUUAGAAAAAGGUAGCACGCUACCUGCUUCAUUCAUUUAGAGGAUGAAUUAGGCUUACAUAAUGGAGGCAGCCGGGGCCUCCGACGGGAGAAAGAGCGUCAAAAGCCAGAAAAACAAAGACAAGGAACAAAAACGACAAGAGACUAAAACCAAAAAGGAAGGAAAUGAGGGGAAGGGGAGCAAAAGCGACAAAUAACUAAAACCAAAAGAGGAAGAAAGAAAGAGUAAAAACGACAGGCGUCAAACAGCAGGGAUCCAGCAGGGUCAACAAGGAGUGAUCCAGGUGUCAAGCAGCAGUUUCGCCCGUUCCAGGCACCGAAUAGGGUUGGGGGCAAUCUCUCGAAAGAUUAAACCGUUUCUUUCCGUCCAAACGACCCACCAAAUAGCAGAAAGGAGCGAGAGGGAAAUAUGUCUGUCUUUGGCGUCUCUUAGAUCAAUAAGUUUAGACCAGAGGUCUCUCACAUCGUCCGCGGGAUCAGACAGAGCCUCCAAGCCGCCUACGCUCAGUAAAAUGAAGCGAACAAAGACACAGGAACUCAUGAGGUGGUCGCAACUUUCCAAAUUAACGGCACAGAAAAAACAUGUUUGAUCCGGUAGCCACCCUUGCUUAUGGAUCCUGUCUGCAGUGGGGAUCCUCUUACGAAGUAGUAGCCAUAAGAAUACUUUGAUCUUGCCAGGAAUAUUCAAUUUCCAGAUAUGUCGACUUAGGGGGUCCACCAUGCCUGAGUCCGUGAGAAAGUGAUAGAGGGAUCUGACUGAAAACUUUUGGUUGGAGGUCCAAUGCCAUUUGAUCUGGUCCGGGAGCUGAGUUGGCCGGAUGGACCGAAGCAAGUCCAUAAGCAAGCCCUUUUGUCUAUGAUAGUUCACGGGUAGAGGCCCUGCUGGACCGCGGCAGAUAUAUUGCCACCGCCAACCAUUAGGGCCCCAGCUCUGAGCAAUAGUUGUCUCUUUGUUUCGGGUAUGGCUGUAGAUGUCGGGGAAGAGAGUACAAAGGGGAGCCUCGCCGUACCAAAUUGAUGACCAAAUCUUAAUAUCUUUGCCGUUUCCGAGGUUGUAGGUUGUACCGCAUUUAAAGAUGUCCCGGCAUCGCAUUACAUUUUUCCACCACUGAGAAUAUGGUACGAAGGCCCCGCCCUCAUUCAGAGGUUUGCGUCUAAUAUAAUAAAUCGAUUUGACUAACUUCUUCCAAGGUAGAUCUGGUUCGCUAAAGAAGCGCCACCACCACUUAGUUAAAAGCGCUGUAUUCAUAGUCGCCAAAUCCUUGAUUCCAAGGCCUCCUUCUUUUUUGCUUUUGCAGACUGCUCUCCAAUUUAUGAGGCAUGCCCCUUCAGAUAUGUUUGUGCAUCCGCGCCAAAAGAAAGCUCUUCUCAAGGCUUCAAUUCGGCGCAGAGCCCAUUGUGGAGCUUUGAAGACGGAGAGGAAGUGAAGUGGCAUAUUUGAAAGGACAGAGUUCACGAGGAUCAACCUCCCUCCUUGGGAGAGGAGUUUGGCCUUCCACCAUUCAAUCCUCUUAUCAAUGCGGUUGAUAAUGAUCGACCAGUCCUCUUUUCGCAAGGAUCUAUUGCAAAGGGGUAGCCCCAGAUAGCGGAUAGGGAGGCUUCCAACUUGGCAGCCCAGGAUGUUAGCAAGCCUGGUAGCUCUAGAGGUGUUUGAGCCCAGAUAGUACAGUUCGGACUUGUCCAUAUUGAUUCGGAGUCCAGAGGCCCAUUCAUAAAUUUUCCAUAAGAAACGCAAAUUUCGCAGGAUAUAUUUCCUGGGCUCGCAGAAGAAGAUCGUGUCGUCGGCAAAUUGAAUCAGAAUAGUCUGACAGUCCGAAGUCGGGCCAAUUCCCCGAAGAAGGCUAUUCCUGCAGGCCAUGUCGGAAAGUCUGGAAAGACAAUCUGCAACUAUCAAGAAGAGAUAGGGGGAGAGAGGGUCGCCUUGCCGAAGACCCUUUCGUGCUUUCAGCCAGUUUGUAGGAGUGUUGUUCACAAGGAUGGCUAAUUUGGGAUUACAGACGCCUGUUCAAUCCAGGACCACCAUUUCUCACUAAACGCAAGCAAAAACAUGAUUCUUUUCAGAAAGGGCCACCGAACGUUGUCGAAAGCCUUUUCAAAGUCCGCUUGAUACUGACGCAUUCUUUCCUGGUUUGUGGAGCAACCAACUGACUAGUUCGCAAGCGUUGACGAACGAGUCCGGCAAGCAGUCGGUCUUUGAGGAAAGCCGAUUGGGAAGGAGAAAUAAUAGACGGUAGAACAAGGGCAAUCCUAUUCGCAAGAACUUUGGAAAUAAUUUUCUGAUGGCCGUUGAUGAGAUCUAAUUGGGCGAAAAUCCUUGGCCUGGUACGCGCCUUCUUUCUUCGAAUGAGGCAGAUGAAGGAGUAAUCAAUCGGGGCUGUGAAAGCGUGCCCCCUUGGAGAUCAAUGAAAACUGUAAAUGUCGUCUUUAACAGUUUCCAGCAGAAAGUUUGGUAGAAGAUAAGUGGAAACCCACAGGUCAGGAGCUUUAUCGCUACCAAGUUGAAAGUAGCAGCCUUGACUUCCUCCAUGUCGGAAGGGGGCAGUUAGGUACUCAGGUUGUAGUAGCGUGUUGGAUUGGAAAGAGCGCUCCAGUCCCCGAAGGAGGAAGGCCUCCUCUGCCUGACAGAACAAUCGCGAAAAUGCUGAUAGAAAAGGAUCUUUUGUGAUCCUCCGUAGUCUCCAGUGUCGUCUCUAUUACUUCAAUGGAGUGGUGCGUUUCCUGCCGUUGGCCACAGCAUGGAGAACUUGGUAUUAGCGUCUCCCUCAUUUGAGCCAAAAUUGUUUGGACUGGUUUUCCAGGAGACUUCUUCUUCCAAAAUCUGUGUGAGUUUGAUUUGAUGGCGUUCUCUCUUUUCGGGAGAUCUAAGCUCAGAUUUUGGAGCUCUUUUAUCUGAUCAAUUAGACUGAGCUCGUCCAGAGGGCUUCUUAGCUACGAUAAUAUUGUAAAAGUUUGAUUUGCACCAAUUCCUUUCAUACGAACUCUGCACGUGCCGUCAGUUUAGCAGCUAUAGUGAAGGAUCGCUGAUCCUUUAGGGCUGACUUCGUUCCACCAUAAGUGGUACUUUGGAGAUAAAUCCGCUUUCGUGAGCCAGACCUUUUCAAAACGAAACCUACGCGUCGGAGGCGGGAGCCUAGAGUAGAGGAGAAUCGGAGUAUGAUCAAGGUGAUUCUAGGGAGGGCUUUGGCCUUGCACAGGUGGAUGAGAAGAGGUCCCAUUCCGUGGAGACGAGGAACCUGUCUAUUUUGGCAUAGUGGGUGUACGAUGCAUGUUAGACAAGUGAAGCUUUGAUUUGAAAGCGAACAUCAAUCGACCUCUAGGAUUGAUAAGAUCCGAGAACUAUGUCCAUGGAUUUCUAACUCAAGUACGCCCCAGUCUUUCGGUUUGAUUUCUGGUGAAGUUAAAAUUCCCACGAUGACCGCCAGCUGGUGCGCAAUUAUCUUUUGAGGGAAGCCAAUUCAGACAGAAGGUCCUUACCCUCCCAGGUGGGCGGGCCGUAAAAUAGUGAUGAAGAAAGUCGAGCCGCUCGCGGUGAUGGGAGAGGCGUACAGUAAGAGAGUACGACGAACAAUAACUUUAGUCGCAGCAAAGAACUCGAGCACCAACAGAUAUAAGACUCCUGAGCCCGACGGCCGGCAAAAAGUGACAUUUUCAACACUGGAGCCACAACAUGAUCUAAGAAAGACGCGAGAUACAGAGUCGACUUUAGUUUCCUGAAGACAGACAACUGCACUGUAGUGGCCUAGACACGAUAGAUUAUAACUAGACACUUUACGAGGAUCAUUGAGAUCGAACGUUCCAAUUAAGAAAGAAGACAUAAAAAAGAGACGACCCCAGAGAACAACAUCAGAACAGUAAAAGGGGAGAGAAACAAAGUUAAAUAGACCCCGCGGACAGGAAGUUUUGGAGAUCCUCGCUCAGCAUCAGAAAUCGCUACUCCAAGCAGAAGACUCUUCUUCUUGAUUCUAGAGCGAGACAGGUUUACGAGCGGAGCGGCCCGGAUCAGACGAAGAUCCUUCCAAAAGUUUAGCUUUCCUGUUCAUUUGCUCGCCGAGCACGUUGACAUCCGUCAGAUUUGAGAGUCUGGCUGCUUACCCUAAAGGGGGGGAGGGGCUCCACCAGACAGUUAGGAGGGGAGGGUCAGCAGAGUGAAGGGGGGGAGCAAGGGGAGCAAGCUGGCAGGAUAGUGAAGGCCAAGGCCGGCCCGCAGGAGAUAGCAAGGUGGGAGGCAGCAGGUGGUCUCCGGCCCCCGGGAGGGAGGGCGCGCCAUGGGAGGAGGCGAGCCGGGGGGCUUCGGGCUGGCAGGAGAGCUCAGGGAGUUCAAGCCCGGACAGAGGGAGCACCGAUCAGGGGAGCCCGAGCGGCGACUGGGCCAUCGAAGGCCCACGUUGGAUUCACAGAUAGUUCCAGCAAGCGGGAAGGCAGGCGGGGGGGGGAAGGGCGGCGAGCCGGCGGAGAGGGGUGGACGCGGGCUGGCGGAGAGCACAGGCGGCGGGAGCUCGAACCGCGGCAGGGGCUCGGACCAGCGGAAAGGCACAUGCCAGCGGGGGAGGUCGAACCGGCAGGGGGGGGCUCGGACCGGCGGAGGGCACAGGCCGGGGGGGAGCUCGAACGGCGGCGGGGAGCACAGGUCGGCGGGGGAGCUCGAACCGGCAGGGGAGCUCGGACGCACGGGAGGGCACAGGCCGGUGGGGAUUUCGAAGCGCGGCGGCGAGGGCACAGGCCGGUCGAGAGAGCACAGCCGGGGAGGCUCAGGCGGCAGGGGAGCCGUGGGCCGCGGAGGGCUCGGGUUGGCUGGGGGCUCGCGCGGACGGGAAGGGCAGAGGAGGCCGAGGCCGGGCUCUCCAAGGCCAGGCCCAAGUUGGGCCCACCGGUGGAGUCCAGCAAAUGGCUUCCCGGGCUCUCCAAGGCCAGGCCCAAGUUGGGCCAACCGGUAGAGUCCAGCAAAUGGCUUCCCAGGGAGAAGAGGUGGGCCUGGGCCGUUCGCAGACUUUCCAAGGUCCAACAGAAGGAGUCCCAGGUCCAUUUGAAUGACCCGGGGCCCAGUGCAGGGUAGAUAUGUGGGCCAGAAAAAAGCGCAGCGAAGAGGAGGCUUCGCGGCAGUCCCGUCGGACAGAGGCCCAAAUAACGUAGUUUGAAAUUUGAAACAGAGCAGUACAGUACUGGACCUGAGGGGGAGAGGCUCCAAGCAGAAUAAAUGCGCAGGGACUUUUCCCGAUAAGCGAGGCUUCUACAAAAGCUGAUCCCGGCUUGAUCCGAAGGGCUCAUCUUCCAACAACAGGCAGAAGAUGAGCGAGGCUGAGUAGGGUGAGACAAAAGGAGGCAUGAUCAGCAGGCAGACCAGUACUUUCUCCAACAAGUGGAUCAACUUGCACUAAGGAGGAAAGAUUUGGAAAAAGGCAAAUCUGGCCCUUGGGGUACGGGAUGCGGUCAGUCGAGGCGUCACCGACCGGAGAGUCAGCUGAGGCGUCACCGAUCGGAAUACCAGCCGGCCCCGAUCCCGUGGAGGCCUCGGCCACAGGCGCCGACCCCGACCCCAGGGAGGUCAGAGAAGCCUCAGUCACCGGCACCGACCCCAAUUCCAGGGGGGCGAUGAGGCCCAGUGAAGGUGGUUGGCAGCGCCUCCGAUCUCGGAUUUCGGAGGAGUCAGAGGAGCCGUCCGAGUUGGGGUCGUCGUCGUCCAGAGGCCUCCGCGCUCGUACUUCACCAAAGUACCGACGUUCAACCUCUAAAGAUCUCAUGUCAGGAUCGAAAUGGUCCGUUCGCUCGUUGGGCGGGGGAGGAGGAUCACCACCGCCAUUGUCCCUGUCCCGAGCCCAACGCUCAAGUUGGAUUAGGACCGACAUAGAGACGUCCCCGAAGGCGACGUCCAGAUUCUCGGGUAUGUCAUGGAGGUGGUUGACGGCUACGAGGCAGCGGUAGCCGGAGAGAUCUAUCAUGCGAGUCGUGUGCUCAUCCGCCCUGAUGAACCGGGUGAAGUCGCCGACGAUAGCCGCAACGGUACGGGAAGACCAACAUUCAUAGGGAAGAGAUACCAGUCUGAUCCAAGCUUUGUAAGGGGGAGAAAAACGGCGGGCGCCACUGUAGGGAUUCCAGGCAUAGCAUGGUAAUCUAAUAUCCCCCAGGCUGAGGUUUUGCCUUCGGACAAGGGAGUCGCUUGGAACCCAUUCUGGAAGAAACACCACGAACUCUCGUUCCCUGUAGCGAGCCACCAGAAAGUCCAUGGGGAAGCCUUCGAAACGGUUGGCGAGACCGUUGGCGAUAGUGUCUUGAGCGAAGUGGCCAAGAUUCGCGGGGGGAACGACAUCCACAAGGAGUGCAUUGCGGCGCCUGUUCUGCCGGGCAAAGAAGUCUUCUGUCUGCGGAACAAAGACGUUCAGGUAAGCUGGGCGAGCGCGCAUGUAGCGGUAGACGUCCAUCGGGAGGCGAUCCAUGCAGCUCCGCGCCUUGUGACCCGUUUUGAGGCACAGAGCGCACCGCAAAGGCUCCCGGCAAGCGGCCGCUCUGUGGUUCCGUCCUAGGCACCGGAAACACCGAUCCUUGAAAGAGCGCUUGGGGGGAGUGUUGCGAAGAGUGUUACGAAGAGGUGGUGGAGGGUGGCGCGAAGGGAGAGAGGCACGGGAGCGAUGCGCGGGAGCGAAGAGCAGAGAUGGCGGCGGAGGGUUGCGUGAAGAGGAGGGUGGGGCUGAGGAGAGGAGGGCCUCUUUGUAGGACGGUUUGCCGGGAGGAGCGAGGCGUCCGUUCCUUUUGUAAUGCACUUCGGUCCAAGGCUGAUCCGCAGGCGCUCCCUUGCCGUCCGUGUCCUUUACAGCUGGAGCAGGAGCACUAGGGGCAGUAGGGGAGUCGUCCUUGCUGAAGAAGGUAACUUGAGCCAGGUCCAGUCCAGCGGAGUCCGCCCAGAUCACCUUCUUAGCUAAGGAACGAUCAUUAAUGCUGGAGCUUGAGGGGUGGGUGGUUGCCAUAACUCCAUAUCCCAGAUGAUGUUUAAGCUCCUGAAACCUCCGCUCCAAGUCUAUACUCAGUCCAGAUGAAAUGACGUUCCCUAGCUGCCUGGGACAGGGGGCCGCCGUCGUCCCUAGCACCGUCAUGCCUGUUGUCUUGGCCGUCGUGCCUGUCGUCUUGGCCGCCGUCUUCCCUGUCGCCGUAAUCGCCGACUUCCUUGUCGUCGUGAUCGGUGUACAGGCGAUCGCCUUCCCCUUCUCUCUCUCUCUCUCUCUCUCUCUCUCUCUCUCUCUCUCAUUUUUUUUAGCAAUUUUUAACAUAACAUAUGUAAUCGUUAAAUAAAAUUGUUCUUAUACGCAAUGGCAAAUAUCUCAUUUGACUCCGAAGUGUGAGAAAUAUUUUGGGUUUCACGAAGAUAUCUUUAAUUAUAUAGAAUCCCCUCUAAAAUUGGAUACCAAAAAUAUCCAUCUAAUUUAAAGAAAUUAUCAGAGUUAAUCAAACAUUGAUGAUAAUUCUUUUUUAAAAUUUCUCAGAAUUUCCACUUUGCCCUUUAUCAAUCAUCAACGCCUUUUUGAUUGAGCCAAAGAUUUCUACCUUUAAAAUAUUAUAAAUGCAGUUGGUUUUAUAUUAUUUUUUUUAUCCUCAUGACCUUAUAUGAACCUAUCUCAAAAACUUUCCAAUUAUAGUAAAAACCGAAAUUCUAGUGCAUGAUAGUCCUAAUAGAAUUACGAUUAAGACAAAAGUCCUAGCCUAAUUCGGAUAAAAAAAAUAAUAUAAAACAAAAGAAUAAAAUUUUCUUAAGAAAGAAUAACUAAAAUUGACGUUUCUUAAGAAAGAAUAACUCCAAUUAAAAAGAGGAGCCUAUUAAACUACUUGAUAAAGUUUUUGGGGGUUUUAAUUGCCAAAAUAAAAAGUUUAGGCACAUGUUUCAUUUUUCCCAUAAAAUUUUGUAUAGUGCCUUGGUUUUUCUUUUUUUUUUUAAAUUUUUGAUAGAACGGUGGCAAACUACCUGCUUCGUUCAUUUUUUUUUUAAAAAAAAUGAGCUCAAAUAGAAAUGUGAAGUAAUUAGGUUUCGAACUUGGGAUCUUAGAUACAGACCAUUAAGCCCUUAGCUUGAAUUAUUGUAUGCAUAAAAACCAAUCAAAGUCUACAAUAUCAGAUAUAACAAUCUAUCCAUACAUGGCCUGUAAGGAUUAAUGUAUUGUGCCCAUUAGCAUUUACCAGUCCUCAAAUUUCCAGCUAAGUUUCCAUUCUAGUUCUUAAAACUUCUGAGUUCGAUGCUCUUGACCUAACUUUUUUCCUUAAUUUUAUAAAUAUUCUGUUCUUCUCCAAAGUUCGUUUGUUUAAUAUCUAAAUAAAGAAAAGAUUGUAGUUUGUGAGAUGAUAAGGUUAUUAAAAUAUAAGAUAUCAUCAGGGGUUAAUAAAGACAGUGCAUAUAUAAAUGCAUAGAUCCAUACACUGGGUGUAGGCUAUAAGUUUUUCACUAAUUUAAUAAGGACACAAUGGUUAAAAAUAAUAUAAAAAAAAUCUAUAUUUUAUCCAUACAUUAAUUUUCACAAUCGUGUUCUUGGAGCAAAGUAGUGAACUUGAGAAAUCAUGUUAUCUGUGCCACUAUAUUUUAUCCAUACAUUAAUUUUCACAAUCAAUAGAUAUAUAUGUUUCAAGUAGUUGGCAUAGGUGCAAAAUGUUCUUGUUUUACAUGAACUUACGUACAAAUUAAGAACUCAGUGGAGUAAAACAUUUCAAAUUCGAGCUGCUUCUUAAGUCUCUUUCAAGAUAAUUAAUGUUGAAUGGUAGUGGGUUUCACAACCAGGCUAAAACAGUGUCAUUUUAGUUGAUGCCAAAAUAUUGUUGUUUGUAGCAUAUUGUUUCAUGGACCCCAGCUGCCUCAUUUGAUUGUGGGGGAUGUUGUUGGAAACUGCAUGUGCGCGAGAUGUGUACAAAAAAGCGUAUUGAGUAACAAAUUUGAAAGAGUAUGAGUGAUGAAUUCAAAAAAGAGUGUGUGAGCAAUGAAUUGAGAUGAGUAAUAGGCGGUCCUUAGUUAUGGCUUAUUUUGUUUCGAUUGCAAGUUCUGCAUAUUGAUGAAAACAUUUUUUUUUUCUGGAAAUAAAUAUGUAGGGAAGAUCCUUGAAAAGUAGGUUGUCGACGUCCCCACAUAUUUCAAGCAAAUACUUAUGAUGCACUGCUCGUUAGCUUCAACGUACUAAAAGUACGUGAAGGUGUACAUAAAUAGCGAAGAAUACAUACGGAAAGGACUUUAUGCAUGACGAGAUCAUUGGACUUGCGUGUCGACUCUACACAAUUAAGCUCUAGACAAUAUAUAGUAGCAGAGAUUUCGAAAACAAUGUUGCUCAUUUCACUGCGUUUGUAAUUUGAAAAUGAAGUAUAAAUUAAGGGAGGAUAAUAUUGGAAAUUCUAAUCCGAACUUCCUCCAAGAUAUAGAAAGAGAUAACGUUUAUCCUUGAAAAUUAGGUAUAUGAGAAAUAGAUAUAUGUUCAUCCUUGGAAAAUAGCUACCAAAUUUGCUAGGUAAUUGAGAGACAAUUUGUUCGGUUUAUAUGAUUAUAUACUCCAUAGCAUUACUAUAUAUCGUCGUAUGACAACAUGUCAAUAAUCAUAUUCUUUAGUUUUAAGCCUAUUUGAUAUAAUGGUAAGGUGCAAGGAAAAAGUUAAAUGAAACAAUAUAUGUUUCAUAUAUGUGGUUCUCGAUCUUGGUGCUUUUUUCUAAUGAUUUUCCACAUAAUUUUUAAUGUUUAUUUAUCCAGUGGUCUGAUUUAGCUUUUUUCUUUCACCUUGAUCUUUUCAUAUUGCAAUUGCUAGCCCAGAUUGGCCCUAAACUUUUCCAAACCCAUAGUCACCUCCUCGGACUUACAUAGUUCGCAUUCCCCCCAUGAAAUUAUUAACAUGGUCCCUUACCACAUCUACUUAUAUAUUUUAAUUCAAACAUGAUCUAUAAAGUGGUGCAAGCAACUUAUCUAAACAAAAGGUUCAGAGAUAAUGGUCCCUUCCAUGUAUUCGAAAGCACCAAAACAAGUUAUUUAAUAAAAGCUUUGAUACCUUACUAAUAUUUCUUUCGAAUCUUGGACCACUCUACAUGGCUAUACAUAUAUGCUUUAACUAGAAAGAAGGUGAUGCAUCAAUUAAUAUACGAUUCUCCUUACAUUUAAGAUAAUUUAAUCAUUAUAAUGAGCUGCAAAACCACUUUUGGAAUCCCAUGAACGUGUCGUGUUAUAUAUGCUCCCAACAUACAUAAGAUGAGAUUGUAACUGGGGUACCGAGAGGCUAUGCAAGGAGGGGACGGGGACUUCGAGAAAAUGGGAAAGCAUGCAUCCUUUUCUGAUGCAAUCAUCUGCUUUCAUGAUAAAGUGAUGUCCCCCAGUGCAGGAUCCACUUGUGGAAAAGAAAGAUGAAAUAAACCGUGCAUGCUCUUCGAUGAACGAAAACAAACUCCUUACAUAGGGAGCUCCCUAUAGAAGUUUUUAUGCGGAGGGACUCGAUGGAUGGAUCAAUCAUCCACUAACUAAGCUUUCCAGCUCGAUUAUUAAACCUGCAACUGGUAUAUUUCUAAUUAGAAAAAAAAUUACUUAUUUAAAGAAUUUAAAUUAUUAGUUUGAUUGUUGGAAUUAGAAGUAUCGGUAGGAUAUAUAUAUAUGAACGGCAUCCAAAUCUUCGAUAAAAUAUCCUUGAUAAUUAAAGAGUUCGGUCUUAAACUUUAUCCCGCUUUAUUGGGGUCUGAGCUGCGCAUGCGUGGUUGCUUUCCGAUAACAAAAGAGAUGCGAACCAUACUGCUUUACACGUAAAAGUAAAUAGAAAAAAAAGUUAAAGUGCAUGUAAAUUACUAAAAUACAGACCAUUUGCAAAAUUCAAAUGUUUUCAUUGUGGUACCUGAACUUUCUAAAAUUCUCAUUUUAGUAGCUACAUAUUAAUUAUUCGAGAAAAUUUUGCCAACACAUAUCCAUGGGUUUACAUAUUUAUGCACUAUCCCACUCUCCAAUAAAGAAAGUUUACAGUUAGAUUAAUGAUAAGAAGAGAAGUAUGAGACGCAAUAAAGAGCAGUUAGGAGAGCAGCGUAUAAAUGGGCAAAUGCAUGUACGUGAUGCAGAAAAUAAUUUCUACAGCUAUAUAUUAUAGACAGGGGGAUGUACUAAAAUGGUAAUUUCAAAAAGAUUAAGCAUUAAAAAUAAAAUUUAUAAACUUUGGACGCCUAUUUGAAAUGACGAGUUGCCUGUAGGGUAAUUUGACUAAGAAACAGUUAAUGUAUAGUAAAUUUAUCCACCAAAAGAUAAGAAUAAUAAUUAGUUUCAACAUGGAAUUUAGCAAUCUUUUCGGAGCUUGAUAUGAUAUUAUAUGUUCUUCUAAUAUAUAAUUAGUGAUUAAGAUAGAUGUGACAAAAAAUUGACAAGAAACCUCAAGGAGAGUAAUGUUGUUCAGACCAGAAGGUCAGUUGAAAUGUCACACAAAAAUGAAGGAAGGAAUUUUAAAAAUUAAAAAUUUUAGAUUUUUUUUUUUUUUUUUUUUGGUUGCAAAAGCAGAAGUUUUAGUUUGAUACUUUGAUUUUGCUAUACAAAGAUGAUAUUUAGGAAACACGGAGAACUUUGGUUAGAUAUUGUAAUUGUAAAUAUAGUGUAGUGGAUAUGUAUGUAAUAUUUUCGUUUUUUUUAAAAAAAAAAUUAUUAGAUGACUAACCGUUGACUCAUUUCAAAGAUAGGGCAUUCAAUUCAACAAUCGACACCAUCAAGUAAUCACAUCAAAAGCAUUUGAAGUUCUAGGAACUAAAUUUUACGUUUCUCCAUAUAUAACUGUUCUCAUGUGUAUUGAAUGAGCACAAAAUAAAAUGCUAAAAUUGAAUACACUUAGAAAAAAGAAAAGUCAGAUCAAGAGUGUUGAUGUUGAUUUAAGUAUUAAUUUCAAAAAAAUUUCUGACAAAAAUUUAACUUGUUUUGAUUUUUCCUAUACUAUGAACUUGGCAAAUGUCUCAUAACGACAACUAAGAACUGUUGAUUUUGAUAUUAUUAAAUCUUUAGCUAGAAACUUUGAAUACUCUAAAGCAUAUGUCUGUCAGUGUCAAUCGUCAGCUAAAAUAUCUAAUUUUCUAUUUUCUAUUAUUAGAUAAUCCACAUCAUAUACUAUUUGCUAAUUUACAAGCAAAAGAUUCCACAAAAUUUGACUAAUAAUCCAUAUUUGACUACACCCUCCAUUAUUGCAAUUUGGCACCUGUGUAUUUUUCAUCUUCAACGCGUGACUUUUCUCGAACCAUCUUUCCACUGAAACUUUCACAUCUUAGCAGUAACCUCACUCAACUUGAAAUUGACAAUUGACUUCAAGGUCAAUAACAACAAAAUCGUGGGUCCUUGUCUCCUAUCACUAGUGCAGGAGAAUCUCUUCCAAUUAAAUCUCCUCCAUCUGCCACCUAAUUAGUAUAUAUCUUGUUAAUUAACCAACAAAUGCCCCCUACAUAUAUUUUUUCUGUAUAAAUCCUAUCAAAGUUCUUAGAUCUGUUUUCUAGACCCACUUUUGCCUGUAGUUCAUCAUUUCUCAACAACAUUCUCACAUGUCCACUGCUAGAUUUUGACUUUUCAUGAAAUUGAUCAGGUAGCUAGGGUUGUAGGUUACUUCCCUAAAUUCCCAAUCUAUAGCUCGGAGUCUUUGACUCGAUUGUCUAGGGCUGUAGGUAACUUCCCUAAAUUUCCAAUCUAAAGCUUGGAGUCUUUGACUCAACUGUGUAGGAUCGUUGGCGCUGACCAUUAAUCCCAAAAGCUCGAACUGUUAGAAACUCGGCUCAAUCUAGCCUCUUGCCCUCCCGCCACAUAGCAGGAUACUAGUCCCUUUAAGCUAACAAUCCCCUCUCACCCUAGCACCCUUUUAAGCCAGCAAUUCCCCACACCCCUCCUGCAACUGCACAAAUUUGCAGCAUGCAAAAAUCGAAUCUGUAACCUAUGGCUCUGAUACUACUUGUUUGGCCUCUCGUCAAAGGGCAAAAUACUGAUACUACGAGUCUCGAUUGUGACUCGGUUCAACCAAUUUCACACCACUUCGAAUAUGAUUCGGUCCAACUCGCUCUUUCACCAUUUUGAACAUGCAUAUGACUCGGCCCAAUCUGAUCUCCCGCCUCAAGGCAGGAUGCUAGUCCCUUUAGACUGUAAAUUAGGUGCUAAAACAAAAUAGUUAGUCUUUAUAUUCGCCCUACUCCAAAUCAGAUUUGAUGAACAUCGGCCAAGUGUCAGAAAUAUAUUUUAUCAAAACUAAACUUGAAUUAGUUACAUAAGCAUCAUGGUUGGAUAUCAAUUAAGUAUAUAGUAUACAAGUACUUUUGGUUUGUAAGGAGAAUCUAUAUCAGAGUGGACCUCACGCACUGGGACACAAGAUGCAUAAAUCUCAUGAUAUGUUUUGUUGGCUGCGAGAAUCUGAGUCGAAAUGUUUGAUUCCUAUUCUCGUUGAUUAGUUUAUUCAAUCAAGUUGGGAAUUUAAAAUAAAUCACAACAAGAUGGCACAGGCUAUGAAGGUAAUGGUGGUGGUGUCGGUCAUGGCGACGAUUGAGUCGAUGAAAAUAAAACUUAACCGCGAUUUUGAUUACUGAAAUCAAAAUGACAAUCGCUAAUUUUUGUUUCCAUUUUUCGGCCAAAAUGUUUCGACUCAAAAGACACCAUUAACUUGCUUUAAUCAGAAAAAUGUAAUAUGAACUAGCUAGUUCAGAGCUCAAUUGCUCUUGCCAUGCAUGUGUCCUUCAAAUGUAAAUAAUGAACCUGCCACAAAGGAUUCUAAUAAGUUUACUAUUUUUCAUUAUAUUAAUAAAUACUUCUGUUUUUUUUUUAUGUCAGGAAUCAUAUAGAACAAAAGCCAGUGGAAUUAGUUACCUGGACCACUUAAAUUCCCGAAAAAGUAGGAAGAACCAAUAAUUCAAAGUGAUAAUGAAAACAAGUUGUAAUGGGUGGUAGUUAGGGUUUUAAAAGGCCUGAAUACAUACUAGCAGCUAAGCUAAAAUAUCGAUCAAGCUCGGUUCAUAUUCGAGCCAGCUCAUUUAUUUGGAGUUGAACUUGAGCAAUUUACAAAUAUAUUAUAUAAAAUGUAAAAAAGCUCCCCUCAAAAAUACAAAAAAACAAACAGAUCUUAGAAUACUAAGGAGCAUAAAAUUAUUAUGUUUGGUUUAGAUCACUAGAUUUCCUAUAAUAUAAAGGAAAUGCUUCUUGUACACCCAAAAAGGGGUGUAGAUCUUACACUCCCCCUUCUAGAGUUGAUAAAAAUUCGAACUUAAAUUCAUUAUAUGUGUUGUUGGCUCAAAAUUUUAAUUUGUAUUUGAUUCAAAUUUUUUAAUUCGAAUUAUAAAUCUAGUAAAAAAUGUUUAUUUAAAUUUGUAUUCUAAAUUAAAAUUUUACAAACAAAUUGCCAAAUUUGUGUUUAAUUUUUAAGAGGCAUUCCCCUUCUUUCACUCACAUGAUAUUGUGGGAGUCACCUAAAGACUUUCAAUGACAUAAUUAAGUCAUCUAUUUAAAUUAAAAUAAAAAAUAAACUUAAAUUUAAAUUUUGUGUAUUAAAUUUAAAUUAUAUAUUUAAUUAUUGAACUCAAAAUUUCUAUUGGUCAUCUAAAAUGCUGCACUUAUAAGCUACGAAUGUAUUAACAUUAACCACGUGAAAAAAUUUGAAUGGUUUACGACAUGCAAUUUAGCAACCUACGUAAGCUUAAGCUUGCCAAUACAUUAAUAAUCCUUAUCAAAUCCUUAGUGGGAAUCUAAGGCAUUUUCUUUACUUGCUUGUGGGGGAUUGUUUGUGAGAAUCCAAGGCAUUUUUUCUGUGAUAGAUCCUUUGUGAGGACACGUUUGUUGCGGGGUUCAAGGGCGGAAAUUGUUAUUUUUAUAAACUUUUACUCGUAUUAAUUUCAUUUGGUACAAGAUUAAUUAAUUCACCUCUCUUUAAUCUCCAAUAAUACAAAAUUGUUAAUCUAGAUGACACUAAAUUAAAAGGAGGUGGAAGAGAAAAUAUAUGAAAAAUGAUAAAAUUUUGAUUCAUCUUAUAUCAUUCUCUUCCCUUUCUCUGCUUAGUUUCUCUUUCUUAAUUUCUCUUUCCUUAUUUUCUCCCUUUUUUACUUUCUCUCUCCUCAAUUUCUCUCUCCUUAAUUUCUCUUUCUUCACUAUCUGUUCUCUAUAUUUCUCUUUUCACUCUCUCUUUGCAUAAUUUCUCUCUUCACUUUCUCUCUCCUAACUUUGUCUUUCUUUACUUUCUCUCUUCUUAUUUUCUCUAUCCUUAUUUUCUCUCUCUUCACUUUUUUCUCUCAUCUCUCUUUUGUUGCUUUAUUUUGCUUCACUUUCUCUCCUCUCAUCCUUUUAUCUCUUCUUGCUUUCUCUCUCAUUAUCUUCUCUCUUCUAAUUUCUCUUUCUUCACUGCUCUCUCAUCCUUCUCUCAUUGUCGUAUUUGUCUUCAAUUUUUCUCUCCUCAUUCAUCUCUCUUUACUUCUUCUCUCCUUAUUUUCUCUCUUCAAUCUCUCUCAUCCCUCACUUUCUCUUUUCUCACUUUCUCUCUCAUCAUCUUCUCUCACUUUCUCUCCUUGUUGUAUUCGUCUUCAGUUUCUCUUCUCCUUAUUUCCUCUUUCUUACUCUAACUCUCCAUUUUCUCUCACCUUAUUUUCUCCCUUUUUUCUCUAUUCGCUUUCUCUCUCAUCCCUCUAUCCUUUUCUUCUCUAUCCUUCCAUUGUCUCUUUUCUUCUCACUUUCUCUCUCUUGCUUCACUUUCUUUGUCUAAGGCUCCAUUUGGAAUUGUGAAGAAAUUGUAUUACAUGUGGUGAGAAAGUACGAUAAAAAAAUAUUCUAUUUAUUCUCGUAUAUAAUAUCGCAUUCCGAAUAUCGUAAGAGUUAGUUAUGGUAUACUUUAUGCGGUCCAACAAAAAAAUGCAGAAGUAUAUCUUUAUAUGAUUUCGUUCCAACUUUAUUUCAUUUAUUAGCAUUAGAUAUGCUUCAAUAUCGAAUGGGCCCCUAGGUGUCAUAAAUUAAAUUAGAAGUUAAAAAGUAUAUGAUAGUCAACUAUUGUGAGAGUUAAACAGGUCAUUUUGUAAUUUAAUUAAAGAAAAAUUGACAGAAAGAGCAUCUCCGAUAUGAUUUAUAUAUCUACAGAGAUAGUAUUAAUAUUAAAUUUUUGAAGUGGUGUCUGUAAUAGUUUAUAAAUUUUAAUAGAUACAUAUAAAUAUUAAAAUACCAUCCUGUUAUAACUUAAUCUUUUGAAAACAAACAAUUACUUUAUUACAUUAUUUAAUAACAAAUAAGACAAGAUUAAAUGAAUCGAUUUAAUACAAGAAUUGUUAAAAGCGGUUGUUCCAUAUUAUUUAACAUCAAGCAAAACCACACUCACUGAAACCAUGAGUUAAUCAGAAAAUUAUUAAAAAUAAUUAUUUUACAUGAGUACAGUUUGUGUGCUUUUGGAAGCACACAAAGGUUUCCAUACUUUCAAGUUGUUUUUGAUGAUUAACAUCUGAUUCGAAAAGAUCGACUUCAUUAGAUAUAAUCUACACUAUUGAAACUAUUUAGAAAUUGAAUUUUAUAAUUUUUCUACAUCAUUUGUCAAGUGAUCAAAAUAUCUCAAAAUUGACUAUUUUAAUGAUCGAUGUGGUAUAGUUUACCAUCAAGAACAAGAUAAAUAUUUUCGAUUUAAAAUUUAAGCCUUCUACCACUCUUUCUAAUGAGCAUUUUAUUUUCAGUCGCUCAUUUUGAGACAACUCGUUCACUAGGCAAAUAAAGUCAAAACAAAUUAUGGAAUUUAAUUUUUAAAUAGUUUCAAUAAUAUAGUUCAUAUUUGGAUCAGAUUUCGCAUAAGUCUUGAUUCAUUUUACAUUAUUCAACAAUAAAUGAGAUCAGAUUCAAUGAACCAAUAUAGUUAAUGUCAAAGAAAUUAUAAAUUUAUACUUAGUUUUUGAACAAAUGACAGCGCGCGGGUCGGAUUCGGGGCGGAUUUUCAAAAAUCCAAACCCGAACUCGACUCCAAACCUGAAACCCAUAUCCGAACCCAAACCCAAUAGAUUUUAAAAAUCCAUAUUCAAACCUGAACCCGACCAAAAAUUUGAAAUGCGAACCCGAAUCCGAACCAAAAAAUCCGACUUGAAAUAAUUAUUUCUCUUUCCAAUAUUUCAAAAUAUAUUAUAUUAAGUCUAAAUUUUUAAAAUACAAAUUAAAAUAUAACAUCAAAUUUUUAUAUACAUAUUAUAUAUAAUGUAAAACAAAUUCGGGUUUGGUCGGAUUCGUGUCAGGUUUAGAUUCGAAUCGGGUACAGUCAAAAUAUAUAUAUCCAUAUUUAUAGACUUUUUUUUUAAUAUUUAUAUAUAAAAAUAUAUUCAUUUCGUUCUAAUUCAAAUUUUGAUAAAAUUUUGAGUAUGAAUAACCAUUGAUAUCCCUAGGGACAGUCCCCAAUGAGGAGUCCCACACCCCCACUUGCUCUCCAAAUGAAGACACAGCCACCUAGAUGGGCGGCUCAAAACACCAUUUACAGUGCCAAUAAUAAUUGCCUCCCCCUUUUUUUUUGCUGUGGUCCGGCGCUAAAGCUUUGCACUAAACUACCCCAGUAACUCCCCCAACAUCUUCACGCUAAAAGCCCCAUGCCGUUUUUGGUACUAUGGGGGAGAAAGCGGUGUACGAAUAUCUGGUGUACGGGGGGUGCGAUGAGUGGGUGCGGUGAGCGUACCGCCUCGGUCCCUCCGCCGGCCCCGCGCGCGGUGGAGGAUGUCGCAAUCGGAGGUCCCACUUCGCACGCAAACUUGUGGCUGCACCCGGUGUGUGACCACACUCUAUACGCCACACUUUAGGCUAAAUUCACCUGCGGUCCUUUAAUUAUGAAACUUUUGACAUUUUGGUCCUCAAAAUUAACGUGUUAUAAUUUUUUACUCAAUUUUUUUAGAUUAGAUGAAUCAAGUCGUAGAGAUGAUGAGCUAUUAUUUGGCGUUAUUUUGGCAUCUUACUAAUUGCUACACUAUUAACUAUAACACUACCAUAUUUAGGAUUGUUAAUGGGCAUGAUGUUUAAAUUUUUAUCCAAAUUUAAGUCCGAAUGGGACUGGUUGCUCGACUAGACGAUUUUUAAUGGAUAUGGCUACAGUUACUGUAUAAUAACUGAAAACUCGAUGAAUUUGGAUUCGAGUAUGAAUUUUGUCUAUACCAGACCCAAACUCGAACCUGAAUGCAAACCCGAAUAAAUUUUACCUUAUAUAAUUUGUAUGAAUCUUUUAUGUCAUCAGGUUCGGAUUUCAGGUUUUUAGUCGGAUUUGGUUUUAGACAUGGAUUUUCAUCACCUGCUGAGUUAGGAUUCAAAUUCAAGUUUUGGUUUUGACUGUCAUAUUCGGAUUCAAAUUUUUCAAAAGUCUUCCCAACUUGGUACAUUAAACGAAGCGGGUAGCGUGCUACUUAUCUCUAAAAAAAAAAGAAAAAAGAAAAAAGAUAUUGCUCAUCACACCACUGUCAGGGUGCGUUUGGUUCGCAUUAUGAAAGAUUACUAGGAAUAAAAGAUAUCCGAGAAUCUUAUUCCUAUUCAUCCUAUUACUAAAAAUGUGAAAUUUCUGUGUUUGGUUCGCACGGUAAUAUUAAUUAGCCAUGUUAUUUAAUAUUACAAAAAAUACCAUUAAUUAAUUAAUUUAUUUAAUUUUAGAUAAUGUUACCAAAAGUUUUAACAUCUUUUUCUAAAAAGGGUGAGAAGUAUAAGUUAGAGAGAGAGAGAGCAUAAUUAAAAAAUAGGAAAAAAAAUAUAGUCAAAAUUAGAGGGAGUGAGAGAGUUGAAAUUUUAGAAAGAGAGAGAGAGAAAACUUAAUUUAGAGAGAGAAAAAAAGUUAAAUUUUAGAGAGAAAAAUAAGUUUAGAAAGAGAUAUAAGGUUAGAGUGUAAAGAAAAAUGAUAUCAAUUAGCUGGCUAGUAGGAAGAAAGAAAGAAAUUAGACAUAUUAUGAUUAUCCCAAUUCAUUAAUAUGAGGAUACCCACCAUCCCUCAAGGGAAUGAGAUUAGUACUUUGGAUGAACCUUAUUCCCAAGUGAAUCCAAUAUUACCAAAUAGAUUACUUAGUGCGUUUAGCCAAACACCGUCAUAUUUUUUUAUUUCUAUUGGAUUACUAAAAAUUUUUAAAAAAUAGCGCGAACCAAACGCACCCUCAUAUCAGCCACGCAUUACUAACUAGCUAAUUAAAUUAUAUUAUAGAACUUUAUUGUAAUAAUCUAUAAAAUUUGAUUCAUAUAUGAUUUAGUUUUGAUGCUUAAUAUCAAAUCAGUAGUGGAUUAAAAAAAGAAAUUAUUAUUUGAUUUGCUAUAAACUAUAAUGGAAAAUUUAUGACUUUUGUGGUACGUUAACUUUUUUAGAUGUCGUUAAAAAGGACAUCCGGUGCAUGCCGUAACAUCUUCCUGCUGGUGGGCCCACGCGCUUCCCGAGAAGAUGAUCAAACGGCCAGGACGCUCCGGACGCAGUCAAAUCGCGCGGUGCACCGUAACGCACCCCCGUACUAAAACGGCCACAUCUUAUUCUGCGGACGUCCGCGCUACCAUUUUUAUGCGGUUAUUGACCCAACCGCUCGAUAUGCGCCAAUCCAAGGAAAUUUGCUCUCGCAUGGAGUUUUGUAUGCGCACAAGUGGGUAGCCAAUCGGGAGCGGACAGCGUGUUCCUCAUCCUCUAUCCUCCCGCGUCCGCAUAUAUUACUUUACAUUGGGGGUGUUCGGGCCCACAUUAACGGCCUAAUUGCGUUGAUUACGCUAAACAAAGAUUCUCACCAUUAAUUAAUAACUUAUUAUAUAUAUUAUUAUUUUGUUAUUAAGGUUCGUAGAUUAAUCAGUCGGAGCGAAUACGUGCGAGCGUGCGGUCCACCACGCUGGCGCGCAGAGAUUCGUGCGCGCGCGGAUCUCGAAGCAUCCGUGCGUGCGCGGCCGCAUAGUCUCUGAUAUGAGUGCGCAGCGCGCGGCCGCUUAUAGAGACCUUUCUACCAUUUGACACGUGACACCGCGCGUAAUAAUGGGCUCAUAUAUAUGUACACGAGUGAGAUCUCAAUAUCAAUAUUGUAUGCAAUAAUAAUUAAAGGGCCUAUUUAAGGAUAGCUGGGUAGGAAAUGUAAAAUACGGACCGACCCAAAAUUGGUUCUUUACUAUUUACGAAGACCAAAUUCUAUUUGGGAAAAUUAUCAUAUAUUUAUUUAUAUAUUUUUAUAUUUAUUUAUGGGUAAAUUUGGAAAAAAAAAAUUUUGUCCGCGACCGACAUAGAAACGGAAAAACCCUAAUUCGGAGAGGCUCCGGUUUCUAUAAAAGGGAGCGGAGGGGCGAGCGGAAGAGGGGAGAAACAGCAAUAUCGGCGCUCUCAUUAUUUUGAUUUUUGGUUUUUGGUUUCGAUUUUGAUUUUGAGGUCGGAGCGGGCGGCGGCGGCGGCGGUGUGGGGGGAGGGGGUGGUGUGCGGCCGCUGACAGAAGAGAGUGAGCACAUAGCAGGUGCUGCCGGCACCGGAGGGCGGAGGGUGCCGGCGCUGUUGCGUGCUCACUUCUCUCUCUGUCAGCCCUCGUUUCUUGGAACUCGACCACCGACGCCCGACCCACCCACCCGCCUGCCUGCGUGCCUGCCUGCCUGCUGCACUUUUUGUUAUUCUUUCUUUUCUCUUCCCUUCGAAUUUAAACGGUGCUUUGGGUUUUUUUAUUUUUAUUUUUUUGUGGUGUUUCUCGAUUCUUUCUCUGUCUGGAAACUGUGUGAUUUGAUUGAUGAGUGUACGCCCGCCCUUAUCUUUUCUAGUUCGUCUGUCAGCUCGCGCAUCGAAGGAAGGGAUGUGUGUCGCCAUGACGACUGCUACUUUUUUUUUUUUUUGUGUUUUGUUAUAUUAAUUUUUCCCUUUCCCUUUUCCCUUUUUUUCCUUUUCUCUUUUUUGUUGUGGAUUUUGUGAUGUGCAGGAGGAGGAAGUAGAAAAUAAAAUCAUCGGAAAAUGGAGAGAGAGGAAGGGAGAGAGAGAGAAAUUUGGGGAAAGGCCCGAAGCGUGGAAGCGCGAGAAAUCACGAAGGGACGGAUCAGACGGGGUGCGUACAACUCGUACUCUUCACAAAAAAAAAACCCCCACUGUUUGACUCAGUCCUCGCUCUCCUCUCUUUCUCUCUCUCUCUCUAGCCUUUUCUUCUUCUUCACUUUCAUUUUUGUGGAAAGCUAUUCUUUUUCCUUUUAUUUUUUGGUUUUUUCUUUUGGGGUAUGAAUCCGCCAUUGUUGAUGUGCUGUUUACAACCAUCAUCCAUCCUGAUCUGUUCUCCUUUACGUAGGAUAAGUUUUUUUUUUUUUUUUGACGGAAAAGAGUAUGAAAUGGUAGAAAAAUAAUUGUCAUCAUAUGGGUAUAUAUACUUUUCAUGGAUCUAUAUAUGGAUGGAUCUUGAGUUUUUCUAGUAUAUGUAGAUUUAUAUGUAGAUUUAGUUGAAAAAGAGAGGGAUGAGGGUAGAGUUGAUAGAAGAGUUGUUAGAGAUAAGAGAGUUUUUAGAUCUGGUCGCAACCUGAGGUUAAUUAGUAAGCAUCAGCAGCAACUUAUAAGCUAAGAUCCUUAUUUUAUGGUCUCCUCUAUCUAAAUCUGGCAAUAAUAUUUUGUUGUUUGAUUAUUUAUAGUGACUGAUGAUUAGGUUCUGGGUAACUCCUGGCUUGUUACUGUUGUAUUGUUCUUUAGACAUAUGUUGUACUAAUAAGAACUAAUCCAUUCUGAUAGAACACUUCUCUGUUUGCAGAUGCUAAAGACUUUUUACUGUUUCAUUGCUGCUGCUUUACAUUAUCAUAGAGAGGAGCAUCAUCUGCUGUUGCUUUAUGGUAUGUCCUUUAUGUUAUUAUUCUUUAAUAUCAAAUAUAUGUUGAGUUAAUUCGAUCGUGAUACGAAGUUUACAUUUUCCUUCUCUUCCUCCUUGUUCCACUAUAAGGUACGUAGUAGUUUUCAAUAAUAACUGUCACUGGGUGGUGAUUAUUAGGUGUUCUCCUCCUGAGUUCUUAUGAAUCUGUAAGAUAUAAAUAGAUCGUCUAAGGUUGGUAUGUUGUAUGGUUAGAGACAUUUUUGCUUAAUAAUCCAGUAGGAAUCAAGGAGCUUGAAUAGUGAUGGAGAUAGCAAGAGUUCACCAUUAAAAUUUUCUAAUUCCACAUUUUUCUUACAAGAUUCCAAGACAUGUAUCUAGUGGCUGCUGUAUCUGCUAAACUGAUGUUUUCAAUCUCUAUGGCCAUUUGCAAUUAUUAUUACAUGUCCUAGCUUAUCUGGAUGAGAACAUUUUGAUCUAGUUGCUUGUGCGCUUGUUUGAUAUGAUUAUCUUUUCUGCUGCAAGAUUGUGCUUUUUUGAAAGGUUAUAUCUAUCUCUUACAUUGCAAAAUUAUGUGUGCAGCAAAGAGGCAUAUAGAAUUUGUCGGAUUUAAUCGUAGAAUUGUGUAUCAAGUUGGUUAUAUGCAUUAUCUCUCAUUUUCACUUGCACGAAGAACCACUAGCUUGUUUUGAGAUCAUGGGUAUACUAAUUUUUUUUUUUACUCAAUUCCUGUAGGAUCGUGUGUCAUUUAUACUACUUCUUGAGCAAAGUGUUUAUAUGCAUGACCAUUUUCACUUGCAGGAAGAACUCCUAGCUUUGUUAGUCUCUUAUUGUUCAGGUCAUGGGCAUAAUUUUUUUUUUUACCCAAUAUAAUAGUAAUCUGAAAGUCCAGUUGGACCUUGUUUCAUUGGUACUAUGUUGAGCAAGUUGGUUACAUGCAUCAUCUCCCAAUUUCGCAUGCAGGAAGUAAUCCUAGCUUGUUUGUCUCUUAAUGCUCAGAUCAUGGCCAUACUUUGUUUUGUUUUGUUUUUUACCCAGUAAUAGUAAUCUGAAAGUCUAGUAGGAUCUUGUUUCAUUGAUAUUACUUUAUUGAGCAACCAUAUAGCAUAGCAUCCAUAUAGCAUGUCCUAGCAUCUCCUCUAAGUGCUUACGGUAGAUUUCAUAUUCCGAAAUUCAAUCUUCAUAAAUUGAAAAUAAUUCAAGACCUUUUCAUUUUGUAGAAGCCAACUGUAGCGAAUGCGNAAGUGCUUACGGUAGAUUUCAUAUUCCGAAAUUCAAUCUUCAUAAAUUGAAAAUAAUUCAAGACCUUUUCAUUUUGUAGAAGCCAACUGUAGCGAGGGGGGGGGGUGGUUGGGGCUCUCACUUGAUAUGGCCUUUAAGAGAAAGAUACCGGAAUGCCAAGGCCUUUUCAAGAUUUCUAUUGGUCUUAAUUAUGAAUCUAAUUCAGCAGCAUGUGUGAUGGAUUUGAAAGAAGUUGAUUGUCAGCUUUUGCUUGGAAUUCAUUACUUCUUUGAAAAGCAAAAUAAGCAAUGCAAUAUUGGAAGGAAACCUAGUCGCUAUUUAUAGUGAGGAAUAUCUGUUUGCAGAAUGCAGAAACAAAUUUUUCAAGAGAAACACUAAGUCUACAACCCAAAAAGGUUGUGGGAUUGGCACCCCUAAUCCAAGGGUUGAAAUCAAAAUUCUUUGUAGAUUUUAGUAAUAAAAAAGGGGUGAUAAGACUAGUGAAAAAAUAUGGGCCCUUGGAUAAUAGAGUUGUACUAUUACAAUAGGUGAAGAAACUAGCAAAGUUUAAUGUAAAUAGGCAGAACUAAUACAGCGAAAGGUAGUUAGAGGCCUUUUUAUGCAAUAUUUUAAAAAGUAGAAAUAGUUUGUAGGCAAUAUAAAGCACCGUUUGUUUGUAGGCAGCAGAUAUGUAGGUGCAUAUGCAUCAUGUAUGAAUAAAAAUUAUCAAACAUAUGAUAAACAAUUAGAUGAUAAACAGAAAUAUUAGGAAGAAGGUCUUACCUACUGAAACAACAAAUAUAAGAGCAUUGCUAGGUCUACAACCCAUAUUGGGUUGUAAUCCUACAAUCACUCCAUCCAAAGCCCACUUUUCCUUUACAAAUCUUAUCACUCAGGACCCUUGGAUAAGGGAUUGUAGAGAUUACAACCCCUCUUUGGUUGUAGACUUAGCAUUUCUCUAGAUUUAAUGUAGGACACUGAAUAUUAUACAUGUGAACAUUUUACAUUACUUAUGAAAUAGAAAUACUACAAAUACAAGUAUGAAAUAAUAAUUAUUAAAAAAUAAUAAAUUUUUAAUAUCAAUUUUGAUUUUUGAGUGUUUGAGUUGCUAAUCAUAAACAUGUGCUCAACCUACUUGCGUUGCUUAAAAUGCAAGCUAGGAAGCAGCUAUCCAAUGUGCAUAUUAUGCAGUGCCUAUGCCGUUGGUGGUUGCUGCUAUGCAGAAGAGUUAAGCAACGUAUCCAUAUGUGCUGGUGCUUUUUAUAAGUAUCAUUUAGCAUAAUGUGAGCAUACACUUCUUUUUAUCUUCCUUCAUUUGAUAACAAGAGCAUAUGCUAGUUAGUUUUAGACUCUACUGCAUUACCUACUCUCAAAUUGCUGUAUUUAGUGGGUAUUAUGGUAUUUAACAAACAGAUUCUUUCAUUUCGAGAGGGAAAUGUAAAUCAUCAAACAUAUGAACUUUGGAUGACAUGGUUUGCAAGAUUAAUUUUGCUUGAUUCACAUGAUGCAACCUAGAAAAGUUUAAAAAUCGUAUAGCGUCUUGAAACGUGUUAAAUUUUGUCCUUAAUCUCUCUUGUUCUUACCACAUGGUAAGAUCCUGGGUUGAUCAGCCUACAGAUUUUCAUUCACCGAGGCAGCCUGUUGCUAGUUAAGUUGCCAACUGUUAAGAACCUGGCAUCCUUAAUUGUUGGCAUAUAGAGUUAACAUUGUAGUUAGCUUCUUUGUCAAGUUGGAUGGUCCAUUUUUUUGUAUGAAAAACAUUAUUUUUUUUUUCUUGCUAACUGAUAUUGAUGCAAUUUGGAAAGGAGAAUUUAUGUUGGAAGUGUAACAUGAUGAUUGUAUAAAGGAUGUAGAAAUAAAAUUACACGGUCUGGAUUUUUGUAGAGUUGUACUUGGGAUAAGAGUUCCUAGCUAGGUAUUGUGAAAAUAAGCUUUUAUUGUAACCUAGCUAACAGUUGCAGCAUAUAUUAUAAUUUAGUUUUUUGAGUAUUAUUUUUAGACUGUUGACUUGAUGAAGCAAUUUAACUUGAGCGAUAAAACUAUCAAAAUAUUGUAGAUUCUUCCGUAAAGUUGAAAAUCUAAAAAAUGCCCAAUAAUUCUAUUUUUUCCAUAAUAGAUGCUUAUGUUGUUAGCUAUUCUUAGCAAGCAUAUCAACAAUCCUUGGGUCCGGUGCUUGUCAAUUAAGAGUUGAAUAUCACAAUAGCUCAAACUGUUUUCUUCUUCAUAAUCUCUGUCAUCCCUUUUUACUCCCAAUCCUUUCCAUUAAACAUAUUCAGUGGCAGUUCUGUGAGCUAUUAAUUCUUGUAACAAGCCUAGCAGGCUUUACCUCCUCCCGAAAGCUGCCACAGGUACUGAUUGUAAGCUGCCAUCAUCUAGGCUUGUUCCUCCCUCCGUGGCGGAGGAAUGAACUGCCUGGGAGAAACAGUUGCUACCCUUGAUUGUGUUAGCAUCUUCUCCUAUCAAGGGUGAAUUAAAAUUUCUUUGCUCAUGCAUCUUCCCUGCAAUCUCUAGACAAUGACCUAUCCACCCACGUUAUAUAUCUUGUGACCCAACAUACUCUAGUCUGCUUUGUUCAAAAUAUGUGGAGGCACUUAUUAAGUAUUGGAUUUUCGGAAGUUAAGGGCAUUCAAAAAGCAUAAGAGUAGACCAUUGGGAAUUUCAAGUACAUUUGUAGCAGCAUCUUCCUCGGGGUCAAUAGGAUUUAAAUUUUGUUUUUCUACAUAUGGUUGGACUAUAUCUAUAAAAGGUAUUGAUGAUGAUCCGUUUUGCUACAUAUGGAUAUAAUAAUAACUGUAGGUUAUUUAUGAUAUUUAAUUUCAGGACUUGUCAUAAUGGUUUGCUUCUGAGCACCAAUCAUUUCUUACAAGUAGAGAAAUUUAUCCUUUCCCUAUGUUUUGUUGAGGUCUUCGCAUAUUUGAUUUGAUCUGCUUUGUUGUUUCCUAUUCCCUCUCUUAUGAAGUGAUGCUUGAUUGUAAUAUACUUUGUUUGGCUGUCACUGAUAGUGUUUUUGGUCAUUGAAUUGUCACGAAAGGUUAUAUCAGCUUCCUCGUGUUUUCUCUAUUAUCUUUCAAAAUUCUUCAAAAUCAUUAGGCUUGAGAAGUUACAUUGCUGGUACAAACAUAUUUAGUGUUAGGCCAACGUAAUGGUACCCUUUUUUAUUCUUGUUUAAUGUGUAAAAUGUAAACCAGAUCCAGGAGAAUUUCCAUAUUUGAAGGUGCUUCUCAUACUAUUUAUGUUUUUGGCCCAACCACCAUCACAAUUACAAAGCAACAUAAUUUUUGUAAGUUUUUCCAUGCAUGCUUCUGUUGUUACCAGUCUAUUUAAUGUAUCUUUAACCUUUUUUUCUCAAUAAGAAAAUGAAUUUAUGCUGCUUUUUGCAUGAAGUAGGAAGAUAAGCAAGUUGUGGCAUAAUAUUCGAUUUGCGAACAGGAUGCAUAGCUUCCUAUUCUAAGUUGUCUUGUAAGUUUUUCAAUGACAACCAAAGUUGCCGGCAUUGUCUUGUAAGUUUUUCAAUCACAACCAAAGUUGACGACGUCAUCUUGUAAGUUUUUCAAUCACAACCAAAGUUGCUGACAUCGUCUUGUAGUUAUUCACUCAGAGCCUUUUAAGAUGCUCUUCACAUAGUUGUUAUGCCGAAUGAAAGAGAUUUUUAUUUGGGAAAAGUAUAUAAAAGAGCCUUUUUGGUGAGCAUAAUAAAUAUUUGGUCUCCAAAAGUCGUAAGCAUCAAAAAUGCCCUUCUAAUUAUGAUCCUUUUAAGUAUUAGUAUAUCAAGUUCUUCAUUGAAAUACCCAUUGUGCUGUUUUUUUUAUUCGUCGGUCCUCCCAACCAUAGGUGCACCCUAUCUACCGUCUUCAAACGUCUCCUCUCUCCCUUUGGUAGUGUUUGUUUGGUAGUAGAAUAAGGAGAGAAUAAUUAAACAUCUCUUUGACAAUUGAAAAUAGGAAGAAGAUCCAGAGCAAGAACAUAUAUAAUGAAAAACAUACAUUUGUAAGCUAAAAUAGUGAAUACAUAAAUUUGUAAGCUAGGAUGAUAAAAACGUAAAUCUCUAAGUAAAUAUUAAACUAAUAUUUAAACCAUGGUUAAAGAUAUGUUUGCUGAUGGAUUAUAAUGGCUAGGGCAUUUGUGCUGGAGCAUCCAAGAUAUUUUAAACUCCUUAGGGGAAUUAAUGAUAGCUUCAUACUUUUGACCAGCAUGAGUGAAAUUGACCAUUUCCAUUUUAAUGUAAUCGACUAAGAAAUAGUGAGGCCUAAAUUACUCGUUUGUAUUUUGCAUUGUUUCAUUUAAAUUCUAGAAUCAUUUCUUGUUCUUUUCUUGAAAAGCAUCAAAUCAUUAUUAUGAAAGCAAUAAGCUUAAAAAUUGUUUAAAUUAUUUGAAGUUAUUUUGGGAGAUUGUGCAUUUAUUGUUUACCCCACCACCAGCACCACUCCAAAAGGAGCCUCUUUUGCCCACCAUCGGGCACCGGGCUGCAGUGGAUCUUCUUCUGUAUGAACGAGAUCACCCAAAGCUACAUGAGAAAUUCAUCGGCCAUUUUGAUGUGGCAUUACAAAAAGCAUAUAAGUUUGAGAGUGUAGAAUUUAAUUACUUUGUUUCUCGUUGUCCCAAUGAAGACUUUACUAGUGUUAUUUGGUAGCGACAAAAGUAGAGAGUAGUUUGAAGUGCAAAUUGAUCUACCAGUAUUGCGAACUAAUUUUAGAUUAGGAUAUAAAGGAGUGGAUACUGGAGUACAAUCAAAAUAACCAAAUUUUCUAAGAAUCUUUUCGAUAUAAUGAGACUGGAUUAAAAAUAAACCAUUAUUUUCACGAAUAAUUUUAAUUCCCAAAAUAAUAUCAGCCUCCCCCAUAUCUUUCAUAUCAAAAUUGCAAGAUAAAAAAUUCUUAGUGUUUUCUACUUGUUGAAUAUCGGUAAAUUAACAUGUCAUCAACAUACAGACAUAUAAUAACACCUUUACCAUUUGAAAAUUUACUAUAGACACAUUUAUCAGAUUGAUUAAUUUUAUAACCAUUGGAAAGAACAAUCUAAUCAAACUUUUGAUGCCAUUGUUUAGGUGCUUGUUUAAGCCCAUACAACGACUUAACAAGUUUACACAUUUUAUACUCUUGUCCAGGAACAACAAAGCCCUCGGGUUGUUCCAUAUAAACUUCUUUAUCUAAUUCUCUAUUUAAGAAUGCAGUUUUGACAUCCAUUUGAUGAAUAAUCAAACUAUACAUAGAAGCAAGAGCAAUCAAAGUUCUAAUAGUCGCUAAUCUGGCAACAGGUGCAUAAGUAUCAAAAUAAUCAAUGCCUUCUUUUUGUGUAAACCCUUUGGCAACAAGUCUUGCCUUGAAUUUAUCUAUGGUGCCAUUUACUUUGAUAUUCUUUUUGAAAAUCCAUUUACACCUAAUAGGUUUACAUCCAGGAGGAAGAUCAACUAAUUUCCAUAUUUGGUUGACCAUAAUUGAGUCCAUUUCAUUAUUUAUCGCUUCUUUCCAAAAAGCGACAUCAGCAGAUUCCAUUGCCUCCUCAAAUAUUGUGGGGGUCUGAGUCAAUGUUUAAACAAAAUUGAAAACUUUCUGUAAUCAUUUCUCUACUACCCUCAACAAGAAAAGUAUAAAAAUUUGGUCCAAAUAUUUUAGCAAUUCUAACUCUUUUACUUCUUCUAAGUUCUGGGGUUUCAAUUGCAACAUCAUUUUUCUCAUUGGAGUGUUCUUUACUCAAAAUAAGUUCUUUGGGUCUAGGAAUUGAAACAAAUCUGUUUUCAUCAAAUAUAACAUCUCUAGAUUCAAAAACUGUGUUGAUCUCAAUGAAGUCAUUAGAUUCAAUCACGUAAAAUCUGUAUGCUUUACUAUGUUGUGCAUACCCAAUAAAUAUGCACUCAAUUCCUCUUUCACCCAGUUUCUUUCUUUUCGGUUCUGGAACCCUCACAAUAGCUCUACAACCCCAAACUUUUAAAUAAUUUAAAUUGGCGUUUCUUCCCUUAAAUAAUUCAUAAGGAGUUUUAUCAUUCUUCUUUGUUGGGAUUCUAUUUAGUAGAUGGCAGGCUGUUAAUAAAGCUUCACCCAAAAAUUCAUAACUUAACCCAAAGUUAGAAAGCAUAGCAUUGACCAUUUCCAUCAAUGUUCUAUUUUUUCUUUCUACAACUCCGUUUUGUUGUAGAGUAUAAGGUGCAGAGGUUUCAUGUAUAAUACCAAUGGACCCAAAAAAUAAAGGAUCAUAAUAUUUUCCUUUGUCUGAUCUUAGGUAUUUGACCAUUUUCUCACAUUUCACCUCAACUUCAGAUUUAUAAAUUCUAAAUUUAUCUAGCGCUUCGUUUUUAGAAUGCAAAAGAUAAACAUAACUAUUUCUAGAAAAAUUAUCAAUAAAUGUAACAAAAUAUUUCUUUCCACCAAUAGUAGGAGAAGCAUGCAAGUCACAAAUAUCACUAUGUACCAAUUCAAGUAGAGUAAAACAUCUAUCAAUUUUAGAAAAAGACUUUCUAGUAAUUUUAGUGAGCAUGUAAGUAUUAAUUUUUCUAAUUUAUUAUCAAAAUUAGGAAUUAAAUCUAACGUAGUCAUAUCAUGUAAUCUUCUAUAAUUAACAUGUCCUAAACGAUUAUGCCAUAAAGAAGACGAGUCAGUAAUAUAGGAUGAAAUAUUCAUUUUAUUAAUAAGAUUGAGUUUGAACAUGCCCUUGAACAAAUAUCCUUUUCCUACAAAGAUUCCACUCUUCGACAAAAUAAAUUUGUCGGCCUCAAAUACAAGUUUGAACCCAAAUUUGUUAAGAAGACUUCUUGAAACAAGAUUCUUUCUAACUUCGGGUAUAUGAUACAAAUCGGUGAGAGUGAGAGUUUUUCCUGAUGUGAACUCGAGUUCCACGUUGCCCUUUCCUUUGAUUUGUGCUAUUGAGGAAUUGCCCAUAUAGAGAAUGUUUCCAUCCUCCAAUGCAUCAUAAGUUCUAAAUAAACUUCUCUCCUUGCACACAUGCCUUGUGGAACCUGAAUCAAUCCACCAAGCUCCGUCAUCUUCGAGUAUGUUAGCCUCAGAUAUCAUAGCCACAAAAUUUCCUUUGGAAUCCGGUGCACUUUCCCUGUUGAGGAACUGACAUUCUUUCUUGUAGUGACCCGGUUUACCACAAUGAAAGCAUGCAGCUUUCUUUUUCUUAUUUGUCAUGUUGUGGUUGAUCGGAUGCUUGGCUCUCUUUCGAUUUUCUUUUGUGGGUUGACGAGUUUUAUUAUACUCAUCUUCCGUCACAUACACUUUGGCACUCUGAGCAUCUUGCUCCUUUUUGCUAUAUUUCAAACGAUAUUUUUCUUCCAUGCGAAGAUGAUUAGCCAAAUCUUUAAGAGUAAUAUCUUUCUUUUUAUGCUUAAGAUUUUUCUUAAAGUCUUUCCAUGAUAGAGAAAGUUUAUUGAUAAUAGAGGCCACAAUUAUAAAUUCAUCCAUAUUCAUAUUAUGUUGAGUAAAUUGAUUGAGAAUAUGUUGAAUUUCAUGUAACUGAUCUAGAACAGAUCUACUAUCAACCAUUUUAUAGUUAUUAAAUUUGCAAACAAGAAACUUCUUACUUGUGCAUCCUUAGAUUUGUAUUUUACUUCAAGACCUUCCACAGUUCUUUAGCCGUUAUUACAUUCUGUUAGACGUCGAAAAGCGCAUCCGACAUAGCAUUUAGAAUGUUGCCUCGGCAUAUAUUGUCAUCUUCAACCUAUUUUUGUCUUCUACGAGUUUGUACAAUAGGUUCAUCAUCGUUUUCUUCUGGUCUUGGAGUAGUGAGGACAUAAGCAACUUCGAGAGUCGACAGAAGGAAAUAUAAUUUCUUUUGCCAGCGCCUGAAGUCCAUGCCAUCAAAUCUUUCUAGUUUGAUAAAGUUUGUUGCCAUCUCUUGUAGAGUAGCAGUCGACAUUAUCGGAUUUAAGCCUUAAGAUUGUUGGAACAGAUAGUGAAAAAGGUAUGAAAUAGAAAGAUGAAAAAGGCUUCAAGGCAUGUAGCAAUGCCACUUCUUAAGGCUUAAUUCGUCCCCACCGUUCAAUCAAUUUGGUGUGCACCGGGUCAACGAACACCCUCCCAAGAUACAAUGAAGCAUAAACCUCAACUACGUUUGCACACACGAAGUCAAGCCUUUGAGCACUCACUCGAUUAAGUUGUCAAAAAAAAAGAAAUAAGAAUGGAAUUAUUAUGAAUGGAGAGUUAAACUCUUCAACUAUUUCGUCUUAUGUUUCUGCAACCAACGCUGUGGACUUAUAUAGACCACGAACGGGUGCUUCAUGAAGUGACUAUUCAUGAACGGGUGUUUCAUGAAGUGGCCAUUCAAUUGUGACUUUUUAUUUGAUCAUAACUACCAAUUAGUUUUAUGAGUCAAAUUUAAUGAAUGUAAGAAUUAAUUUCAACGGACAUAUACUCGAAGAGACACACUAUAAAGAUGUGUCUUUUCAUGUCAUAUCCUUACACUAAAAGUCACAUCCUUUCACUCUAAGAGUCACACCCUUUGAUUAGAGUUGCAUCCACUCACUAAGGGUUGCAUCCACUCACUAAAGGUUGCAUCGAUUCACUAAGGAUCGCAUUCAUUCACUAAAAAUCAAUAAACAAAAUAUAUUAUUUUAAAAUUUUUCUUACACUUUACAACCUUCAUUAGCUAAUAGAAAAGCAUCCAAGAUGACCUCUUCUUCAGAAAUGUCGAUUAGGAUGUAGAAAUAAUUCCGUGCAAAGCUUUUUUAAGUCUUUUUUUUUAGGACCUUCGAAACUAUUUUGUGUAUUCCUCUUUAGUUUGCUUAUAAGCCCAAAAUUGUUAGCUUGCACAACUCCCUCAGUUUUGUGCAAUAGGUAAAUGUAAGAGUAGUCAAUAGGACAUGUGAGGGAUCUCCCCUCAUGAAUCUCUAAAGAUAAUAUAAUUAGGGAGGAAGAUAAUUAGUAAAAUUUAGACUACAAACACCACAAACCCUUUGUAAAUACAUUUUUUUUACUUUUUUUCCCUUGACUUUUGAAAACUUUUACAUUUUGCUCUCUUAAAAUUUUAGAAAUAUUUUGACAAGUUUACGGUGUUAAUGGAGAGGCUAAAAUGAUCAAAUUACCCUUGCUUGUUCUAGAAGAAAAAAUAAUUUUUAAAUAUAUACUACAUUUUAAAGAGCAUUUUUUGUAUAAAUGUAUGAAAUAAGAUGAAACAGUGAUGGAAUCCUGACGAAGAUGGGUCUACAAAAUGCAUCAACUUGAAAUUUUAAGUAAGUAAAAUAUAGGUUUUUGAAAGUUAAGAGAAAAACCAAAAAAAAAUGCUUAUGUAAGGAUUUUCAAUAUUUUAGCCUAAAAUUUACUGUACAGAAAUUUUAGUGAACCUUUUACUACUAUUAAUUAUUCAAACAUGCUAUGAAGGUUAAUAGUAUUGAGACAUUAGUGAAGGAUCAAAUGGCAACUAAGAGGGAAGGGAGUGAAUUAGUAGGAAAACAAAACCCAAGUAGAUUUUAUUGAAGAUAGUAAUUGUACAGCAAAAUAAAAGAAAAAAAAAGAGAAACAAACUUAGAUGACACAAAUAAAUUAUCCUAGUUCGGCCAUUUUGCCUACUCUAGUCCGAUCCUUCUACUCUUCAAGGUACUCAUUUAAUCACUAUCAUUUUGUCUUUGAAACAGGGCAAGACCGAAACCGCUUACAAUUACACUUUACAAGACUUCUAUUACAAUCUUUCAAUAAAGCUCAUAAUUAUAAAAUAAAGAACAAAAGAACAAUUAAUUAUAACUUACAAAUUUUUUUCCAAUUUGAAGGUUUGGCUUAAACAUUAUCCAAACCCCCUCUUUAAAUAUGUUACUCAUCAUUUCAAAUUUAUAAAAGAAGUAUGAUAUAAGGUUAAUUGAUUUUCAUUUGAAUUUCAACCAUAUUUGUAAAUGCAUUUUAAUUAAUACCAUAUUCCAAAUUUUUUUAAAGUCACACCUCAUUUGCAAAGCAUAUUUGAAAUUAUACUACAUUUGAAAAGCCAUUUGAAAUGAUAGCACAUUUGUAAAACUCUUUUGAAUUAUUACCACAAAUGCUAAGCUCUUUUAAAUUCAUUUGUAAAAUGCUUUUGAAUUAAUACUACAUUUAUAGAACUCUUUUGAGUUAAUACCACAUUUGUAAAACACUUCGAUCUUUUUGAAAUCAUCCCAUAAUGAAAUCACUUUUGAAUUUAAACUAUAUAUCAGACCUCUUUUAAUUCCAUACUACAUUAAAAAUAAUGGUUAAUUUUUUAUUAAGUUUAAAUCAAACCUAUGUGGUAGCUAGAUUUGUUAACUUCGUUAAGUUUACGGGCUCAAAUUCGAUAAAAGUACAAAGAAGCCCGCCAUAAUAUUGUUGUGGUACUUGCAUCCAAUUUGAUACAAUUUGAUUUUGUCCGGGCUAUUUUGAAAUUUUUGAUUGAACGACUAUCUUUGAUCAAUUUUGGUUCGGCUUGUGUCAUUUCAAAUCCAACUAAAACCUGAAAUUACUAUGCAAAAAAGUAAAUCCAAAAUUUAUUUGUAAUCAUCAAAAUUAUCAUUGCAUAAAAUCCAACACGUGGUGCUAUAGAGUCAUUUUCGAUGAUAUAGUAUCCAAAUUGAUAAUUGACACUGUUGAAGAUUGACGUCCUAGGACUACUCCCAUCCUAUCAUACUUAACUCUUUUAAUCUUUUGGACCUAGUCACCACCCAAAAUGAUUAAGAUGGAUUGAGAGUUUUAACCCUAUUAUAUCUUAUAUAUAGAACUACCUGGGGUCUCACAUUCUCCUUGCCUUAAGCCCUGACGUCCUCGUCAGGCUGAGACUCACAAGUACGAGGCGAUGUAAGACUCGUCUCGCUAACCUAAACCGACCUUAUGGUGAGUUGCGCUCCACCCAUAACAGUCAACAGCAUGAGAGCCUCGCUCUCCCCGUUGUACAAUCUUUGCUCAACCGAGACUAAUCUCAUACUUCCAGCUGGUAAUUAGCUCUGAUUCCAACUGUGACGCCCCACUUUCCAAAGCGUCACCCAUCCUAGGAUUACUCUAGUCCUAGCACGCUUAACUCUCUUAACCUCUUAGACCUAACUACCGCCCAAAAUGCUAUAGCGGGGUUAAGAGGUUUUAGCCCUAUUAUAUCUUACAUAUAGGACUACUUAGGGUUUCACAUUCUCUCAUUCUUUAAGCCUUGAUGUCCUCGUCAAGCUCAGACUCACAAGUAUCAGUCAAUGUAAGAUUCUGUCUCUGAAGCCUAAACCAACUAUGUGGUGAGCUGCGCUUCACCCAGAAUAGUCAUCAGCAUAAGAGCCUCGCUCUCGCCGCUGUAUAACCUGGCUCAGCCGAGACUUAUCUCACAUUUUCGGCUGGUAAUUGGCUCUAAUACCAACUAUGACGCCCCACUUCCUAAGGGGUCACCCCUAAUCCUAGCACGCUUAACUCUCUUAACCUCUUGGGCUGCACCUACUGCCCAAAAUGCUAUAUCCGGGCUAAAAGGAGAAUGAAACUGUUUUAACGGGAGAAGAAACUAUAACGCCCCAAAAUUUGACUAUAAAUGUUUAAAAAGAUUUCAAAAUAAUUUUAGAGGAUGAUGGCCAGUUUUAUAUGAUUUUGAACUCAAAUUGAGUCAAAAUGAAUUGUUUGAGGACGAAAAUUUCAAAACAGUUGAGUCUAAUCUGCCAUUGCACAAAUAGCCAUUUUGGAAAAACUUUUAACUAGGUUAUUGACAUCAGAUUUGGGCAAAAUUGGUCUCAUUGGAAAGAUCGUUGAGUUAUCUUUCUAACGCAACGUGAAUCUCCUUAAACGGAUAUCGGACGAAAGAGUUAUUUCAAUUUUUCUGACAGUCGUCGAUGCAGUCCUGAGCUUUGAGCUAGUUUGGGACUUUACCAUUUGUUAUGGGCUGUUUGGUAAAUUUGCUAAUUAAAAUUAUAACAUAUCAACUUAGGUGGUUAACUAUUAGUCCAACCAUAAUUUUUUCCAAGAAAAUGUUGAGUAAAAUGACUGAAACUCUUUUAAAUGGGCUGGUUUGAAUGGGAGAAGAGAAAAACUGUUUUAUUCCUAUUCUCAUCUUCUUUUUCCUAUUUUCCCUUCCUCUCAAUACCCUAGUUCUUCUCUCUUUUAUUCAGCAAUGAGAAGAAGGAUUUCUCCUUCAAAUUGAAGGAAUUUAGAAGGAGACUUUUGGAGAAGGAAACCCAUUUUCAAGUUAAAACUCUAGCUAGAGAACAAAGUAAGUAGAUUUUCGAUUUUGUACUUUGUAAAUAUCAAAGAGUGAAUAUUUUACGUUGCAUGCAUGUUUUUCUAUUCUCUUUGAAGGUCCCAAUCUAUCUUUUAUGAAUUGACUAUAGUUUUUGAAGAUUUUAUGACACUAUAUUCAAAUAUUGAAGCCCUAAAUUAGGGGUUUAUGCCCUAUUACGAGAUUUCCUUGUAAUUUUAGGGUUGGGACCCUAAGAGCCCAAGAUGAGAUCUUGAUCGUUAACUUUUAGUUCUUUCAACUUGAAUUUGGAGGCCAAUAUAUAGUUAUAUGAAUUGCCUUUGUUUUUAAGAGUUUUUGAUGAGUUACUUGUGUUUUAUGAGGCUUCAAAAUUGGGAUUUUGAUCAACUAGGAGAUUAAACUUUUAUAGUUGAUUUUAAGAGUUUAAAAUACUUAAAUUGAGAUGUCAAUCUUGUUCAAAUGUAUUGGAAAUGAAUGUAUGAUUGAGCUAAGUUGUUUGAUCAAAUUUGAACUUAGUUUGUUAAUAUUUCGUCCAAUUUAUGCUAUUUUCAAGUUGGACUUUUCCGAUUAGUUUUCGGAGGGUAAAAACAUCUUGUUAAGGUGUCGUUUGUUAAAAUUAAGUAUUCCAAACCCUUCUAUAGGAUUUAAAUGAGUUAUUUUAAGGUUGUUAUCUAUUUUGAGAGAGUUAAGCAUGCUAGGACUAGAGUAGUCCUAGAAUAAGUGAUUUCCUGGAAAAUGGGGCGUCAUAGUUGGUAUCAGAGUUAAUUACCAGCUGGAAGUGUGAGAUUAGUCUUGGUUGAGCCAGGAUUAUAUAGCGGGGGGAGUGAGGCUUUCAUGCUGUUGACUGUUGUGUGUUGAGCCCAGCUCACCACAAAGUCGGUUUAGGCUAGCAAGACUAGUCUCACAUCGCCUGAUAUUUGUGAGUUUAAGCCUGACGAGAACGUCAGGACUUAAAGAGGGAAAGAAUGUGAGACCUCAAGUGGUCCUAUAUGUAAGAUAUAAUAGGGCUAAAAUCUUUUAACCCGUCUAUAGCAUUUUGGGCGGUGGCUAAGUCCAAGAGGUUAAGAGAGUUAAGCGUGUGAGGACUAGAGUAGUCCUAGAAUGGGUGACCUCCAGGGAAUUGCGGCGUCACAAAAAUGAUCUCAUAAAUUGAACGCCUUAGGUAUCAAUUUCAUGACUUCUCAAUGUCAUCUAUAUAGUGACCAAGCAAUCAUAAAGUGACAAUUUUAAUGGCCCACAUUAGACCUUUUCUAAUUUAACGGUAUUGAAGAAUGCAAAUCGGUAUUCUUUUAACCGAAUUGAUCAAAAUCUACAGCCCUGAUCUUGAAUUUAAUAAUUCUAUCAUCUAUUCUAAAUAAUUGUUUGAUUAUGACUGUUUAUUUUGUGGUUGCUUGAAGUAGAAAAUGAUUCUAAAAAAUUGUGAUCGAACUUGAUUCUUACAAAGUUCAAAUGUCUUAGAUAAUGUUUUCGAUCGUCAAUUCAGAUGCCUCAUCUUUGAAAACGAGUGUAUAGAAAAAAAACGAAGGCCUUGGUGCAAUUAAUAGAACCCUAAUUCGAUUCAUUCAAGCCUUUCUAGCACGCCUCUUCUGUUAAUUGGUUUUUACCGUGUUCCUUGAAUCUUUGGUGGCUUUCAGAGUCUGAUCUGCAUAGACAUAUAUGAAAAACAACAAAUUUUCUCUAGUUAAGGAUGUCAAUUAGAUUUCUCUCAGCUGAAUUAUGGCUACUACCACAAUUUUGAUCUCACCAGUACUUUUUUUUUUUGGGCAGCAGGGCCCCAUGCAGGUAAACAAAGCUUUAUGAAGGGACUUCACUUCCUGAUUUUGGAUGAACUGUUUCCACAAGUCUUAUGAGAUGAUUAUUUGUACUUCAGUGUAUGCUUCCGAUUAUGCUUCCGAUUUUUCCUGUUAUGUUUCCUAAUCCAUUAGCGUGCGUAGCACUGUUUAAAUCAACAAGGAAACUGUGGAUAGAGAUGAAUUAUCCAAUGUUACAUAUAAUACACUCGAAGAUGGUAAAAGGGAACUAGAAUCUGAAGGAAGCUAGCUAUAACAUAAUUGAUAUUAUCGAAACUACUUGUCGAUUAAUCAACAAAAAAUAUGUUUUGAUUGUACCAUUUAAUAUGUUAGUACUCGAUCAGAAUGUCUUUCUGGACCAAAGGGUCCAAUAUAUGUUAGAUCAGAAGUUGAACUGAUAUAAGUUGGUUCUAAUGUAUCAAUGGAAAUACAUGAUGAACAUUCAUUAAUUGAAGAAUUUUGUGAGAAAAUAUGCCUAUUUAAGCCAUGUAGCAUUUAAGAUUUACUUAUCGAUGAGUCUAAACCCAUUUGCAAGGUAUGUUGUCAUGUUGUUGUAUAAUUAGAUUCUAUUAUUUGUAGGAUGAUUUUUAGACCUUUAUACAUCCAUUGAGGCAUUACAUCAGCUAUUUCAUCACUAAACCGAUAUGAUCGAGAGGUGUUAUGUAUUAAUUCGUUACUUGGCAAUUUUAAAAUAAGGUUAUUUAUUUUGCUAAGUUUGGAAGUGUAUUUAUAAUCAUGCAAUGUUUCGAACACAAUUGAUGGGAAGAAGGAUAGUUAAUAUCGCUGUAAAAGAACAAACUUCCAUCAAAAGUGAAUGAAGCGCGCCAGUUCAAAGUGAAUGAUUUUACUUAGUAAGACCAGCAGAAGAGGAGAAUCACGAGAGGUAUGCAUGAGAGUUAUCAAAAUCUUUGAUGCAUUCAGUAAAUAAAGUGUGUGUGUCAAACAAAGAUUUACACAGAGAAAUCCAUCAUUUUGCACGAAAAAUAGUGCGAAUCACCAAAAUUUCACUUGUUUAACAUCAAAAUAUUUUGCUGUUAGUGCCAAAAACUUCAAAACCAUGCCCAUAGUUGUUGUUUUGGUGUUGUUUUUCCUAUUAGAAUCAAUCUGCAUAAACAACGAUUUCAAGUUCUGUUUUGAUCUGUUGCAUCUUUUAAGAACACUUUCUCUAAAUAUUUUGUGUUUUCUAAGUUCAAGCCCUUCAUUCUUUGUUUCAUUAAUUGAUGUGUUAUUAUCUACUUAUCUCUUGGUAUUGCCAUUCUGGUUUCUGAAAAGCUUUAGUUUCUGUAAUUUUUGUGACCAUGCUAAUUCACUCCCAUGAUUUCCAUCAGGAGGGUUGAAGUGUAUAAGUAUUGUCAUCCAUUGAUACUCGACUGAUCUCAGUGUCGAAGCUCAGGACCUUAUGCUCUGAUAUUCAUUGCUCUGAUAUUCAUUGAUAUGACCAUGUUCGCAUGCAGCGUGUGUUGAUAAAUUUUUUGUAACAAAUUAGAUUAGCAAUAUAUCGUGGGAAAAAUUUUUGCUCCGACUGUGUAUUUCUUGUGGCGUGCAAGUGAACAAUACCUGACGUGACUAUGAAAAAGUUGUAAUGGAUUAUGAGAAUUGUAUUUUCCCUUUCCGGAAAGAGUACGUACAGUGAAAGCAAAAUUGUUUCUCUUUAAUUAAUUAGAUACAUGUUGUAUAAGUUUUGCGAAUUAUGAAUCUGAAUUUUGGUGUGUUUGUUCUCGCUACUGUGUUUUGUUUUAUUUUAUUAAGUGAAAUCUGUUUUCUUGCUUAGUCAAAUUAAAUGUUUGGCUUUGACAAUUCAAAAUGUUUUAUUUUAUCGUAAAGGGGUGUUUGGUUCCUCUGAAAAAAUAUUCUAGAAAAUAGUUUUAUAGCCGAAAAGGUGAACAAUAUGUGCUAGGGCUUUUUUUGCAUUUAGACCCCUGACAAAUUUUUAUUUUAAAAAUAGCCCUGUCAAAAUUUAAUUUGCAAAAAUGGCCCUCGACCUGCCACGCAGGCGCCACGUCAGCGCCACGCGGGCAGGGCUGUGCCCGUGUGUUAAGUUGAACACGGUGAACCAUUCACCGUGUUCAAACACGGUGAAUGGUUCACCGUGUUUAGUACGUAUUUUUUGUUACGUAUUUUUUGUAUAUUGAAAAGUGGAAUAAGGAGUAGGGAUGUCAAUAGAUAUGGAUAUCCGAAAUAUUAUNNNNNNNNNNUGAAAGAAGUAACAGAUAUGAAAACUGUAAAUAUGCAUGCAUGCUUUUCAUUAACUUUACCCAAUCUUUUGGUUAACCCUCUGGUUAACAGCUGGACAAGUACGUUAGUCCAUAAAUUUACCGAAUGCAGUGGUUAACCCUUUGGUUAACAAUAACUCACCAACGAAAUCCCUCACGGGCCCUAAGCUGCCUCCCGAUGGGACCGUCUGUCAGACAAGUACGUUAGUCCUGGGGCAAGUACGUUAGCCCAACAAGUGACUACUCCGGAGCUCACUGCCUGGGGGGAGCGACCACCACCAAGCUAAGAAAACAGACUAUGUGAGUAAGAUCUGAUCCCCUUUUAGAGGAUUCAACUGACAACAAUGUCACAAUUUAACUCUAACUAGUUCUUUAUACUAGUUUCCAAAUCUCUAGUCAUGAUGUCACCAAGUUUACUAUUGUCUUGGUCCAUGCAUUCAUAGGGUUCUAUGUCCACAAUCUAAGGUUCACAAAUUCUCAUUGUUGAUAGGAAUUCACAUUUUCACUCGCUCAAUGCCAAACACCCUAUAAUGCAUGACUACAAAUAUAAAUAUGCUCAACAAAGAAUUAUAGACAUAAAAGGUGAUUCAAAGAGUUCGGAUAGCACCACCCACCUGUAGUGGUGUCAAUCAACUAGAAUCCAUGUCUCGGAAAGCGUCGACGACUAUCUCUCGUGACUCCGUGCAAAUAGGACUAGAGCGGUCUCUACCGUAAUUAGCGUGUCGUCGACCUGUCGGAAAGUCAAUUUAGACUCUUGGGCAUGUUUACUUUACACUUAUAAAGGAUUAGAAAAGAUUAAACUAGAGUCAUUACUCAUAUUUUACAAGUUAGCAUUUCAAUGCGAUAUAAAGCGGCAACUAUAGCCGAAAACCUUCUUUUGGCGAUAUCUUUGCGUAGGUUCGUCGGAUUGCCGAACCGACUUCGCCAACGCGUUUCUUUUACCCUCAAUUUGGUUUACACGCCGUCAAUUUCGCAUUAGGACUCUUAUUUUGCAAAAGUGCAUUGCCGGGGUCAGUUUUCUCAAAAACACUAUUUCAAUGCAAUUUCACAAUUCAAUAGAGUAAUUCAACUCUUUAUUAGCCCAGGGACCUCAAAUCAGUUAGUAAAAACUGUCCAAAUACUUCGAUUCAUCUUUUCUCUCUAUUUCAUUUUCUUUCUUUUCUUUCUUCUCUUUCUUUUCUUUCCUUCUUUCUUCCUCUUUUCUUUCUUUUUUUGUUUUCUUUCUUUCUUGCUGGCCCUGUAGGACAGCUGCUGCUGCUGCCACUGUUGCCACUGCUGCUGCUGCUAGCUGCAGCUGCUGCUGCUGCUGUGCUGCUAUGCUGCUGCAGCUACUACAAGCUACUGCUGCUGCUGCUGGCUGAGCUGCUGCUGCUGCAGCAGCUUGCUGCUGCUGCUGCUAAGCUGCAGCUGCUGCUGCUGAUGCUGCUUGCUGCUGCUGCUUACACUGCUGCUGCUGCUGCUGCUGCUGGCGCAGGCUGCUGCUGCUGCUGCUGCAGCUGCUGCUGCUGCUGCAGCAGCUGCUGAGCUGCUGCUGCUCUGCUGCUUGCUGCUGCUGCUACUAGCUGCUGCUGCUAGCUGCAGCUGCUGCUGCUGAUGCUGGCUGCAGCUGCUGAGCAAGCUGCUGCUGUAGCUUGCUGCUACUGCUUGCACUGCUGCUGCUGGCUGCUACUGCUACAACCAGCAGCAGGGAGAGGGGGAGAGGGAGAGAGAUAAUUUACCUUUUUGUUCUCUUUUUUCUUCUUCUCUUUCUCCUUUCUCUUCUUCUUCUCUUCUUUUUCUUCUUCUCCCCUCCCUUUGCUCUUGCUUUCCCUCUCUCUCUAGACGUAUGCUGCAAGAAGAGGUGGCAGGGGAUAAGGAUGGCCCUGGCUGCAGGUUAGUGGAAUUCCACUAAGUCAUAUGCUAAUUACCAAAAUGCCCCUCGACUUACUCCGUUUAGUCGCACGGAUUAUAUACCUUCCGUAAGCCCUUCCGACAGUCCGAUUGAGCUCAAAUUUGGCAGGAAUGAUCGUUUUUACUUAAUAAGUCCACUGAAAUUUUAACAUUUCAGUUUCGACCCCGUUUGGUCACUGCGAACUGUACCGAACUGAAAUCUUUAUCCGAUAGCUUUCGGAUUCAAUUUCUCUCUCUACGGGUGUCAGAAAAAUCUGAAACUUCAAAUCUAGCCUCAUAAUAAUGUUCCUGACAUCUUUGCCAAUUUUCAUAAUUUUCUGACACUGUGCAUUUUCUGCUAAUUUUCUCAGCCCCGUUCCUUACAAAAAAUUCUAAAUUUUUCGUUUUCGCUCCGAUUUCACCCAAACACUUCCAAAAUACACCAAGGGACCUUCCCAAGCUACCAAUUUAAUUUGGAAGCAAUUCCUUUUCAUUUUGACAUUAUUUGAGCCGAAUUAGAAAUAGAAUCGGCUCCAAUUCCAUUACAUGGCCUUUUUGCACUACCACUUCGCACUGAGCUCUUUAAAACCUUGUGAAAACACACCCUUGGCUUUACCAAAACUUCACAAUUGAUUCGGAGAUACCACAAUUUAUCCUUAGGCCUUACUUUAAUUCUUUUAAUCAAAGUUAGCGUCGGAAUUGCGAAAAUUCUCUUUACUCUCUUUAUAUUUCGUUUCGCGCCCAAUUUGCGCCGACACACUUAUUUCUCUUUGGAACUCAUUCCAACGCAUCACAAAUCCCUCGGGGAUGAUGUACAACUAGCUCAAUCCUCACUUUGACCCUCUAGGUCAAAGUUGACAUCGCGACUCCAAGUUUCCAUAUGUUACAUUCUCCUCCCGUUAACAAAAGUUUCGGCCGCGAAACUUAGAUCCAUAUUACCCCUUAUUGCUUAACGGAUGGAGAUAACUUUCCAAAUGCUAUUCCAAAGUUUCUCAAUUUCAUUACAUACUAUACUGAUUUCUCCAAAUCAGUCUCUACGAACACUUUGUUCGCAUUUCCAAUCUCAACUCGUCAUCGAUGCUUAUUUUAGCAAUUCUGACUAAUUCACCCAUAGAACCAAGCUUUUGCUUUCACGGCCUCUACUCAUAAUCUACUUACAUAGGUCCACUACACUCGCUUUCAGUAUGAACGAGUAAACCAGUACCACAAUUCGGUUCCUAAGUUACCGAUCCGAUACAGGCCGAUUGCCUAACCCAACCAUGAUACGACAUAUUGCCUCUCGCUCGCAAGCGCAAACCCAAUCAUCAUCGGGCGAUAUUCUCACUGGAGAAUUCGCACACACUCCAACUAGGAGAAACCAAGACCCCAAACCACGCCAAGUCCUCGGGUUGGGUCGCUACACACCCUGUGUGUUCUCGAUCUCACGAUCUAACACGUGGCAUUCCACGUACUCGGGUCCAAGCUCGGACUACCGUCCUGACCAAAACUCUCUGCCCUACCCGUAGGUACCGGGCCGCUGCCUCUCGCAGCUGACUGCGCCUGCCCAAUAGACCAGGCUCCACAGUCCAAAAAGGGUCCAGGCACGGAUCGUCCCCAAGCACUACCCGCCAACGUAGUCCUACACGACAUGCUCUACAGAGCUACCCACUCUAACGGCUCUUAAGCACCUAGUGCGAGCCAACAGCCUUAAGAGUGACCCAUGGCCCGCUUCACACUUAGCCCUGCUGAAGUGCUACUGCCAAUUCACUCUUCAGGCUGAUCCACAAUCCACAAUCUACGGACAACUAACUCAAGGGUCCAACACGAUCGCGUCUCUCGCUAGAUAGCACUCAUCUAGUGCUCGUUAGGCAACUUAGCCUAUGACUAUCAUACAUAAACACAAUUUCCUCAACUGAUUUGAGGUACAACUCAAUUAACUCGCCAAAACCAGGCGAUCAUCUAACGACCUUCCAACAGUAACGCCAUUACUGUUACGCAAUCCCUCGGAAUAUCAUCCGACUUCUCAAUGUCGUGCGUUCUAGCAAAUGAACUACUAAUGAAUGAAUGCAAUGCACCAGUGUCAAUAAUAUACGCGAUCUAGUAAAACAAUACCUGCCACGACAUCGUCGACUACGGCAGGAUCCUCAACCUGAGCUGCAAAGACACGACCACUCGGUGCAGGUCGGGGUGGCUCGUACUGACGCGGCACAAAAGUAUGUCCAGCUGACAUAGCGGGUGGGGGACCCGCACGCUGCCUCGCAGGCGACUGAACUGAAGCUGUAGGCUGAGCAGAUGAUGCUCCUCUCGGGCAAUCACGACUAAUGUGUCCCGGCUGUCCACACUUAAAACAUUUACCGUCCUUUUGUGAACAAGCUACCGCUUGAUGAUUCCCGCCGCAAAUCACACAUCCCGGGGGUCCCUGAUACGUCUGCUGUGGCUGUGGAUACCGAGGGGGCCGUUUAGAGCUCGACUGUCCCCCGGCGCCACCAGUGGUUCGCUUCUUUCCCUUUUCUCUUUCUCGUUCUCUAUCAAACGACUCGCGUUCCUCACGCGCAAUCGCAUUGCUGCGCUCUACCCAAAGAGCUCGAUCCAGGACUUCCUCAAAUGACUUUAACUUUAGAGCACUAAUUAUCUUAAAUAUUUCAGGCNNNNNNNNNNNNNNNNNNNNNNNNNAAGGAGAGAUGCAUGCUCCAAAAAUUACAAGAAACUAAAGGCCUUUCACAACCAGAAUGCAAUUACCGAGAGAUAAGUAGAUAAAUAACACAUCAGUUAAUGAAACAAAAGAAUGAAGGGCUUGAAGCUUAGAAAAACACAAAUAUUAGAGAAUUGGUUCUUAAAAGAUGUAACUAGAUCAAAAACAAACUGAAAUCAGAAACUUGAAAUCGUUGUUUUAUGCUAGAUUGAUUCUAAUAGGAAAAACAACAAUCAACAACCACUCACUAUGGCAUGGAUUUUUUUUUUUAUUUUUUUUUUUUUGGGUUUUUGAAGUUCUUGCACUAAACGCAAAUAUUUUGAUGUGAAACAAGUGAAAUUUGGUGAUUCGCAUUAUUUGUCGUGCAAAAUGAUGGAUUUCUGUGUGUAUAAUCUUAUGUUUGACUACACACACACUUAUUUACUGAAUCAUCAGGGUCAAAAGAUUUUGAUAACUCUCAAUGCAUAGCUUCGUGAUCCCUCUUCUGCUGGUCUGAUCAAGCAAGUAAAGCCAUUCACUAUUAAUUGGUGGUUUUUUCAUUCACUUUUUGUGAUGGAUUUUGUUUUAAACAGCGAUAGUUAACUAUUCUUCUCCCAUCAAUUGUUGAUUUCGAGAACCGUUGCCAUGCAUUAUAAACAUACCUACUUCUCAUAUCGGUUUGGUUAGUUGAAUAGCAGAUGUAAACCUCAAUGGAUGUAUCGAAGGUCUAAAAAUCAUCCUACAGAUAAUAGAAUCUCAUUUAUACAACAACAAUACAACAUACCUUCAAAAUGGUUUAGAACUCAUCGAUUAAGUAAAGUCUAAAUGCUACAUGGCUUAAAUAGGCAUAUUUUCUCACAAAAUCUUCAAUUAAUGAGAUGUUCAUCAUGUAUUUUCCAUUGAUACAUUAGAACCAACUAUAUAUUCAAGCUUCUGAAUCUAACAUAAAUAUUGAACCCUUUGGUCCAGAAAGACAUUCAUGAUCGAGUACUACAUAUUAAAUGGUACAUCAAAACAUAUUUUUUGUUGAUUUAUCGAACAAGUAGUUUCGAUAAUAUCAUUAUGUUUAAGCUACUUCCUUGCCAGAUUCAAGUUGCGCCUUUUACCAUCUUCGAGUGGAUUAUAUGUACCAUUGAUAAUCCAUCUCUAGUUCGCACAGUCCGUUGUUGCUUAAACAGUGCUACGCACGCUAAUCGGAUAGGAAACAUAACAGAAAAAUCGGAGGCAUAAAUCGGAAGCAUAACACUGAAGUACAAAUAACAUUCCAUAAGAUUGUGGAAAUAGUUCAUCCAAUCAGGAAGUGAAGUCGCCUUCCAAUAAAGCUUUUGUUACCUCAUGGGCCCCUGUGCUGCCCAAAAAAAAAGAAAGUACUGUGAGAUCAAAAUUGUGGUAGUAGCCAUAAUUCAGCUGAGAGAAAUCUAAUUGCACAUCUCUUACUUCGAGAAAAUUGUUGUUUUUCAUAUAUGUCUGAUGGCAGAUCAGACUCUGAAGAGCCACCAAAGAUCAAGGAAAAUCGGUAAAACCAAUUAACCAGAAGAGGCAUGCUAAAAGGCUUGAAUGAACGAGUUAGGUCCUGAUUAAUUGCACCAAGGCUCAUUUUUUUUCUAGUACACCCGUUUCAAAGAUGAGGCAUCUGAUAUUGACGAUCGAAUACAUUAUCAUUAAGAUAUUUGAACUUUGUAAGAACAGUUCGAUCCAAAUUUUUUAGGAAACAUUUUCUACUUCAAAGCAACCACAAAUAAACAGUCAUGAAAUCUAAACAAUUGUUAGAAUAGAUUGAUAGAAUAUUAAAUUCAAGAUCAGGGCUGUAGAUUUUGAUCAUUCGUUAAAAGAAUACCGAUUUGCAUUCUUCAUACCGUAAAUUAGAAAAGGUCUAGAUGUGCCAUAAAAUGUCAACUUUAAUGAUUGUUGGUCACUAUAUAGUAUGACAUUGAUGAAGUCAUGAAAUGAUACCUAAGGCUUCAAUUCUAUGAGCUCAUUUUUAGUGACGCCGCAUCCCCGGAGGCCAUCCCAAUUCUAGGACUACUUCUAGUCCUCACACGCUAAACUCUUCUUAAUCUCUUAGACUACCAUCGCCCAAAAUGUUAUAGACGAAGGUUAAAAGAUUUAGCCCUUAUUAAUCUUUACUAUAGCUGAACUACCUUGAGGUCUGCGACAUUGCUUCGCCUCUUUUAAGUCCUGACGUCUCGUCAGGCUAAAACUCACAAAUGAUCAGGCGAUGUGAAAUCUAGUCUCGCUAGCCUAACCACUUGUUGGUGAGCGGGCUCGCACACCACAACAGUCAACACAUGAAACCUCACUCCGCUGACCCGCGUAUAAUCCUUGGCUCACCAAGACUAAUCUCACAGCUUUCAGCUUAGUAAUUGACUCUGAUACCAACUUAACGCGUAAAGUCAUUUUCUAGGAAAUCACUUAUUCUAAGACAGACUGCUAGUCCUAGCAUGGCUUAACUUAAAAUAAUAUAAACCUAAAAUAAAACUCAUUUAAUAAUCCUAUAUAAGGGUUUGAAUACUACAUUUUAACGAAACCGACACCUUAACACAGAUGUUUUUACCCUCCGAGAAACUAUUCGGAAAAGUCAACUGAAAAUAGCAUAAAUUGGUCGAAAUAUUACAAACUAAGUUCAAUUUGAAUCAAACAACUUAGCUCAAUCAUACAUUCAUUUCCAAACAUUUGCACAGUGAUGACAUCUCAUUUAAGUAUUUUAAACUGCCUAAAAUCACUAUAAAAGUCUAAUAUCGCUAGUGAUCAAAAUCCCACGAUUUGAAGCCUCAUAAAACACAAAGGUAAACUCAUCUAAAAACUCUAAAAACAAAGGCAAUUCAUAUAAGUAUUAUUGCCUCCCAAAUUCAAGUAGAAAGAACUAAAAAGUAAUUAUCAGGAUUCAUUUUGGGCUCUUAGGGCGCGCCACACCCUAAAUUACAAGAAAAAUCUCGUAAUGGGCAGAAACUCCCCAUUUAGGCGCUCAUAUUUGAAUAUAGUGUCAUAAAACUUCAAACUAUAGUCAAUUCAUAAUAAGAUACGCCUUGGACCUUCAAAGAGAAAAGGAAAACAUGCAUGCAGACCUAAAAUAUUCAUACUCUUUGAUAUUUACAAAGUACAAAAUCGAUAAUCUACUUAAUUUGUUCUCUAAGCUAGAGUUUUAACUUGAAAAGUGGGUUUCCUUCUCCAAAAGUCUCCUUCUAAAUUCCUUCAAUUUGUAAGGGAGAAAUCCUUCUUCUCAUGCUGAAUAAAAAAGAGAAGAAUCUAGGACUGAGAGAAGGGAACAUAGGAAAAAGAAGAUGAGAAUAGGGAAUAAAAGAGUUUUUCUCUCUCCGCAUUCAAACCACCCAUUUAAAAGAGUUAGUCAUUUUACUCAACAUUUCUUGGAAAAAUUUUAGGUUGGUACGCAAUAGUUAACUCACUCUAAGUUCGAAUAUGUUACAAUUUUAAUUCAAAUUUACACAAACACCAUAACAAAUGGUUAAAAAUCCCCAAACUACCGCUCAAAGCUGCAGGACUGCAUCGACGACUGUUAGAAAAAUUGCAAUAACCUCUGUCGUCCGAUAUCGUUAAGGAGCAUUCAGGUUCGUUAGAAAAGACAUAAACUCACGAUCUUUCAAAGCAGACCAAUUUUGCCAAUCUGAUGUCAAUAACCUAGUUAAAAGUUUACCAAAUGUCUAUUUGUGCAAUGGCAGAUUAGACUCAACUGUCUUGAAUUUUCGUCCUCGUAAACAAUUCGUUUUGACAUCAAUUGAGUUUCAAACAUCAUUAAAACUGGCCAUCACCCUGCUAAAAUUAUUUUGAAAUCUUUAAACAUUAAUAGUCAAAUUUGGGGCGUUAUAGUUUCUUACAUCCCGUUAAAAACAGCGUUUCGGCCUCCUUUUAGCCGGAUAUAGCAUUUUGGCAGUAGAUGCAGCCCAAAAGUUAAGAGAGUUAAGUGUGGCUAGAAUUACGGGGUGACCCUUGGAAGUAGGCGUUCCAUUGGUAUUAAGCCAAAUUACCAGCCGAAAAUGUGAAGAUAAGUCUUGGCUGAUGGCCAGGUUAUAACAGCGGCGAAGCGAGGCUCUUCAUGCUGAUGACUAUUCCUGGGAUGAAAUGCGCAGCUCACCACAAAGUUGGUUUAGGCUUCAAGAGACAGAUUCUUUACCAUUAAUUGAUACGUUGUGAGUCUGAAACCGACGAGCGACGUCCAAAAAACAAAGGCGCUUUUUAAAGAAUGAGAGAAAUUGAAACCGGCCAAGUAGUCCUAUAUGUAAAGAUAUAAUAGGCUGAAAAGCCUCCUUAACCCCGCUAUAGAAUUGGCGUCACGGUAGGUCUAGAGAGGUUAAGAGAGUUAAGCGUGCUCGACUUAGAGUAAUCCUAGGAUGGGUGACGCUUUGGAAAGUGCGGGCGUCACAGUUGGAAUCAGAGCUAAUUACUAGUUGGAAGUAAUGAGAUUAGUCCUCGAGUGAGCAGAUUGUACAACGGGAGAGGCGAGGCUCAUCAUGCUGUUGACUGUUAGGUGGAGGCGCAACUCACGCAAUAAUGUCGGUUUAUGUUAGCGAGACGAGUCUCACGACACCUCGUACUUGUGGAGUCUCAGCGCUGACAGAGACAAUUAGGGCUUCAAGGUGAGGAAAUUGCGAGACUCCAGGUAGUUCUAUAUAUAAGAAUAAUAGGUUAAAUACUCUUAAAUCCAUCUUAAUCAUUUGGGUGGUGGCUAGGUUCCAAGAGGUUAAAAGAGUUAAGUGUGAUAGAUAGGAGUACGUCCUAGGACGCAAUCUUCAACGUGCAAUUAUCAAUUUGGAUACUAUAUAUAUCAUUCGAUAAAUGAAACCUAAUAGCACCACCGUGUUCGGAUUUUAGAAAUGAUAAUUUUUGAUGAUACAAAAUAGAAAAAUUUUGGAUUUUACUUUUUCAACAUAGUAAUUUCAGGUUUUAGUUGGUAUUUGAAAUGAACAACCGAACAAAAUUGAUCAAAGAUAGUCAUUCAAGUCAAAAAUUUCCAAAAUCAGCUCGGACAAAAUCAAAUGUAUCAAAUUGGAUGCAAGUAGCCCAACAAUAUAUGGAGGGCUUCUUUGACUCUUAUUGUAACAAUAUGGAAACUGGCAGUCGCGAUGUCAACUUGACCUAGAGGGUCAGUGAGGAUUGAGCUAGUUGGACAUCAUCCCGCGGAAGGGAUUUUGUGAUGCCAGUUGGAAUGAGCUUCCAAAAGAGAAAUAGUGUGUCGGGCGCAAAUUGGGCGCGAAACGAAAUAUAAAAGAGUAAAGGAAUUUUCGCGAAUUCCGACGCUAACUUGAUUAAGAAGAUUAAAGUAAGGCCUAAAGGAUAAAUUGUGGUAUCGUCCGAAUACAAUUGUGAAGUUUUGGUAAAGCCAAGGGUGUGUUUCACAGUUGUAUAAAGAGCUCAGUGCGAAGUGUAGUGCAAAAGAGGCAUGUAAUGGAAUUGGAGCGCGAUUCUAUUUCUAAUUCGGCUCAAAUAAGUGUAAAAUGAAAGGAAUUGUUCCACAUUAAAAUUGGUCAGGCUUGGAAGUCCGCUUGGUGUUAUUUUGGAAGUGUUGGGUGAAAUCGGAGCGAAAACGAAAAUUUAGAAUUUUUUUGUAAGGAUACGGGCUGAGAAAAUUAGCGUAAAAUGCAACAGUGUCAGACAAAUUUGAAAAUUGGGCAAAGUGUCAGGAACAUUAUUUAUGAGCUAGAUUGAAGUUUCAAGAUUUUUUCUGACAACCCGUAGAGAAGAAUUGAAUCCGAAAGCUAUCGGAAUAAAAGGAAUUUUUUUUCCAAAGUUUUCGUAAGUUCGCAGUGACACAAACGGGGUGCGAAACUGAGAAUGUUAAAAUUUCAGUGGAUUAUUAAGUAAAAACGAUCAUUCUCCUCUGCCAAAAUUUGAGCUCAAUCGGACCUCGAAAAGGGCUUACGAACGUAUAUAAUCCGUCGACUAAACGAGUAAGUUCCGAGGGCAUUUUGGUAUUAGCAUAUGACCUUAGUGAAUUCACUAACCUGGCAAGCCAGGGCCAUCCUUAUCCCCUGGCACCUCUUAUUGCAGCAUACGUCUAGAGAAGAGAGGAAAGCAAGAGCAAAGGGCAGGGGAGAGAAAAAAAGAGAGAGCAAGAAGAGAAAGGAGAAAGAUAAGAGAACAAAAGGAGAACAAGGUAAAUUAUAAAUCUCUCGACUCUCUCCCCCUCUCCCUGGCUCGGUUGUAAGCAUAGCAGGCCAGACAGCAGGCAGUGCAAGCAGUAGCAGCAAGCUACAGCAGCAGGCUGCUUCAGGGCAUGCUGCAGCCAGCAUCAGCAGCAGCAGGCUGCAGCUAGCAGCAGGCAAGCUAGUAGCCAGCAGCAAGAGCAGAGCACAGGCAGCUCAGCAGCUGCUGCAGAGCAGCAGCAGCUGCAGCAGCAGGGCAGCACAGCCUGCGCCAGCCAGGAGCCAGCAGGCAGCAGUGUAAAGCAGCAGCAGCAAGCAGCUCCAGCAGCAGCAGCUGGCAGCUUAGGCAGCAGCAGCACAAGCUGCUGCAGCAGCAGCAGCUCAGCCAGCAGCAGCAGCAGUAGCUUGUAUAAGCGCAGCAGCAUAUGCAGCCACGCAGCAGCAGCAGCUGCCAGCUUAGCAGCAGCAGGGGCAGUGGCAACAGUGCACAGGCAGCAGCUGUCCCUACAGGGCCAGCAAGAAAGACGAAAACAAAAAAGAAGAAAAGAGGAAGAAAGAAGAAAUAAAAACGAAAGAAAGAGAAGAAGAACAAAAAGAUUAAAUGAAAUAGAGAAGAAAAGAUGAAUCGAAGUAUUGACCAUUUUUUUAAGCUAACUGAUUUGAGGUCCUGGGCUAAUCAAGAGUUGAAAUUACUCUAUUGAUGAAUUGUGAAAUUGCCAUUCGAAAUAGUGUUAUUUUGAGAAAACUGACCCUGGCAAAUGCACUUUUGCAAAAUAAGAGUCCUAAUGCGAAAUUGACGGCGUGUAACCAAAUGAGGAAAAGCAAGAUGCGUUGCUCGAAGUCCGGUUCGGCAAUCGACGAACCUACGCAAAGAUAUGCGCCAAAAGAAGUUUUCGGCUAUAGUUGCCGCUUAUACUCGCAUUGAAAUGCCUAACUUGUAAAAUAUGAGUAAUGACUCUAGUUACAUCUUUUAAUCUCUUAUAAGUUAAAGUAAAAUGCCAAGAGUCUAAAUUGACUUUCCGACAGUCGACGACACCUUAAUUCCGGUAGAGCCGCGCUCUAAUACUAUUUGCACGAGUCACGGAGAUAGUGUCCGACGCUUUCCGAGACCAUGGAUUCUAGUUGAUUGACACCACUUACACAGGUGGUGGUGCUAUCUCGAACUCUUUGAAUCACCUUUUAUAGUCUAAUAUUCUUCGAUGAGAACAUCAUUAUAUUUGUAUGUCAGCAUAUGGGGUUUGGCAUUGAGCGAUGUGAAAAUGUGAAUUCCCAUAUCAAGCAAUAAGAGAAUGUUGUGGAACGCUUAAUUGUGGACAUAGAACCCUAAUGAAUGCAUGGACGCAAACAAUACGUAAACUUGGUGACAUCAUGAUAUAGGAUUUGGAAACUAGUUAAGAACUAGUUAGAGUUAAAUUACAUUGUUGUCAGUUGAUAUCCAUACUAAAAGGGGAUCAGCAUCUUACUCACCAUAGUCUGUUUCUUUAGCUUGGUGUGGUCGCUCCCGACCCAGGCAGUGAGCUCACGGAGUAGUCACUGUUGGGCUAACGUACUUGCCCUAAAAAACAUGCAGGACUAACGUACUGUCUGACAGACGGUCCAUCGUGAGGGGGCACUAGGGGCCGUGAGGGAUUUCGUUGGUGAGUUAUUGUAACACAAAGGUUUUAACCACUGGCAUUGGGUAAAUUAUGGACUAAACGUACUUGUCAGGGCGUUAAACAGAGGUUCACCAAAAGAUUGGGUAAAGUUAAUUGAAAAGCAUGCAUGCAUAUUUACCAGUUUCAAUCUGUACUUCUUUCAGCUUUUACUAGGCAUUGUAGUACAAUUAAUGUUAUAUGUUUGGUUAGCUAUCUGGCUUACUUUUCUGCCUUACAUAUGGCCUGAGUAGACGCUAGGUGGUGAUCGCGAAGUCCGGCAGCCGAACUCCACUGGGAAGCUUUCUUGUAGCUUCUCACACACUAACCAUAACAGCGUUCCAAGUGGCGAAGUUUUGAGGGUGAGACGUGGGCCAAGGGCCCUGCAAGCUUAAGCUAGGCUGACCACAGAGUUUAGCACCAGUUACCAUGUUUGAGUCAUGUAUACAUUCUCAUUUUGAUGUACAGAGACAUGUAAUGAAUGUAUAAAAAGCAUGUAAUAACUAAAUGUUUCAGUUAUGUAAAGUUUUAAAUUACAGUGGAUUUCAUGUUUAGUUAGACUUACUAUCAGCUUGUGUUGUUGCUUGUCUUUGUGCAAGCCAUGUAUAUUGAAAAUGUGAGCCUGGAAAUUGUUUAAUUUCUUUAUACAUGUUCAUUCGUUGUUGUCCGAGCCUUGGCGAACAGAGGGAGGUGCUGUCGUUCGCGUCUGUGUACGGGCCCGUCGACCAAAUUGGCGAUACGGACGUGACAGAUAAAGUGGUAUCUAUAGCAAGUAUAGAAAAGUCCUAAGGAAUGACCUAGGGGACUUAGAUUGGAAACCUAGGAAACCAGGAAAUCGCGAGUGCGUGAAUUUAAUGAUAGCGAAGCCAACAAUUGGGUUAGUUGUUACAAGUCUGCUAAUGUUAAUUAGGGGCUGAUGCGCUGAAGUGCUUAUUUAUAUGGGCAAGCAAAAGAGUUAGUGUUGAAUGCCACAACACAUAAAGCUAAGGUUGAGUAAUAAAUGACUUGAAUUGCUUUCGCCUGUUGUUUGUUUUACUAAUGGAGUUUUGAAAUGUUCGUUCAGGAGAAAUGCCACCGCGACGUGUAACGAGAUCCACUCCGGCAUCACCCUUUGAGGUGAGCCAGAGCAGUCUGUGGUCGGAUGAGGUUCAGGAGCUUGCGUGCUCCAAGGUGAGCGCGUUAGAGGGCUAUGCAGAGGCAGACGGAGAACAUAAGAGGUUGCAGGAAUUGGUGUCGCAACAGGCGGACGAACAGCAGCUUUGGGAAGUCAGGAUGUACCUUAUCGCGGAUCCGCCAGUGUAUUAGCCCCUCCCUCCAGUUGAAUUAUUCUCCGUGGUCUCAUGACGCUUCUAGUUCUGAUUCGGCGCGACAACGCCGAGCACGAGCGAUCCUUAUCAGGUAUGACGCGUUCAUUGCAGGUUUUAAUCCGCCAUGUUGACGGGAAAGAAGCCGCGAUCUUGGGUAUUGGAGACGUGGCUUUCAACAUCGAUGGAAGCCUUGUUUUGAGGAUUUAUAACCCUGGAACAAUGAUAAGGUUAUUUGCAAGCGCACUGUUUGAGCAAGGAUGCCAGAUUUUGUGGCAAAAGGCAAGAAAAGCUCAGGUCUAAACACUUCAUCGCAUUACCUGGGAGGAGUUUAUGAGAGAUUAUUCAUGGAAGUACUUACCCAGAUAGCGACAGAAGAAAGUUUGAAGGAUAGAGUGUAGGAAGUUGAGACAGCGGGAACCGUUCGGUACGGGAGUACGAAGGGGUUUAACUCAUUUGGUGAACCUGUGUACCAGGCAUGGUUCAUACUGAUAGAGAUCGAGCAGAGUACUUCGAGCGGGGUUACCUCUCUCUCUCUCUCUCUCUCUCUCUCUCUCUCUACCUCUAUUCUCUCUCUUUCUCCCCUUUCUCUGUCUGCUCUCUCUCUCUCUCUCUCUCUCUCCCUCUCUCUGCCUGCUCUCUCUCUCUCUCUCUCCCUCUGUUAUCUCUCUCUUUCUCGCACAAGGCCCCCGCAAAACGCGGGGAACGCGCCGUACAAACUCUCGAUUCAAGAGUUAUAUAGAUAGAUAAAGUAGAGUUCGGGCGAAAUCAUGGAGGAUUUUUUGGUAAGAACAUAUAAAAUAUAUUAUAAACGGCGUAUUUCUAUAUGCAGAAUAUAUACGAUAUUGCAUACAAAAAUAAAUGUUAUUUUUUUAUCAUAUUUCUUUUAUUGUACGUGCCAUAUUUUUUUCACAAUUGUAAAUAAAAUCUGAAUCUACAUUGAAUAUUCUAGUGUAUAUACACAAUUUAUAAUAUUUUUCUGUAAGGCAACAUUAAAAUUCUGUGUUUUAUAAAUUAAGUAAUACAAUGUAGCAUUUGAGCAUCUCUAGUCUAUGAAAUAUAAUACUCUACUACUUUAUUAUUUAUUCACAAAAAGUUAAAAUAGAAAACACAAAAAAGGUGAAAUGCUAUGUUUUUAAGCAUAAACUAGUAACAAUUUCCGUGAAAUUACAAAUUAAUUGUCUUUUGUGGAUGCAAUAUUUCUACAGCUAUACACAUAAAUUACUUCCAACAACUGAGAUCCAUCACCGACUGUUCCUAGAGCAAGUGACAAAGGGCUUGGUGGUUGGUAUCGAGACUCAAGUUCGAAUUCUAGUUGAUUCACAUUUCCAGCUAAGUUUAUUCUAAAUGAAAUAAACAAAGCGGAUAGCGUGCUACCUUUCUCUCAAAAAAAAAACAACUGAGAUCCAUCUAACUGUAGAUAUACAGAAUUUACAUUCAAAAGUUAAGAUCUAUGUUGUUGUAAAUAUACGAUUUAUGUGUAUCAAAUUAAAUUAAACAACAGUAUUCUUCAAAAAUUUAAGCUGAUAGAGUAUGGUAUUUUUUUUUUUAUAUUUAACACUCGCUCUCCCAUUUGGACUCGAAAUCUUUUAAUAAACCCAUAAUAUGCACUUGUAUUAAAUAUAAAGAAAUAUGAUGUGAUUCAAAUACAGGAUCUCCAUCUGAAGCUGAUAGAGAACGAUAAUAUUAUAUUUUCAUAAUUAACAUAUAAAACAUGCUCCCACCCUUGUGAUAAUAUAUCUCUAAGGACUUGAUAGUUAGUAUUUGAAGUUUUAAGUUUGAAAUAUUUUUUUUUAAUUUUUUUCUUGAGUAUUUAUUCUCUAGAAUUUUCUUUAAAAUAAAAAAGAAAGGGUCAAAUGCAUACAGCUCCCUGCAAAUAUAGCCAAUUGCGGAUAUAUUCCUGCAAAAUCGAAACUCCAUAAGUUGUCCCUGCAAAAGUUUCAAGUUAUGCAGAUAUGUCCAUGCAGUUAACAUCUGUUAAUAAGCUGUUUGUUUUUUAACAGCGAAGUCGUGAAAUGACCAUUUUACCCUCACAAAUAUAUCCCUCCAAAAGUUUUCCUCUUUCCCUUCUCUUUCUUUUCCUUUUCGGACCGUCGAAGCAGACGACGGCGGCGGCGGCGCGGGGUCAGGUUCGCCGGCGACGAAGAAGAGGGAAGAACGCCGGGGCACCGGAGCUCUACCCGGAGCUCGUCGCCCUCAACGCCAUCCCCUCCCUCGUCGGCCUCCUCGGCCACCACAUCGCCGACAUCGCCGUCGACGUCGUCUCCCUCUUCAUCGACCUCACCGACGCCGACGUCCUCGGCGACCACGACGACCCCGCGCACGCCCUCGUCGCCGCCCUCGUCGACAACAACGCCCUCGAGCUUCUCGUCAAGAAACUCGUCCGCCUUUCCUCCGAGACCGACCCCGACGAGGUUCUUCUCCCUCGCCGGUGACGAAGAAGAGGGAAGAGGAAGAGGAUGAAGGAAGAAGGAAGAAGAAGGGAAAAGAGGAAGAGGGAAGAGGAAAAGGAAGAGGGUUCUCCACCGUCGCCGUCGUCGCCGCCGCAUCUCCUGGCCGGCGACGAAGAAGAAGGAAGAGGAAGAGGAGGAAGAGGAAGAAGGGUAAAUACGUCAAUUCACACUAUAAUUAACCAUGGUUAAGUAUUUUAACCAUGGUUAACGAAAAUUUUCUAACAGAUCUGGACGGUAGGGACAUAUCUGCAUAACUUAGGACUUUUGCAGGGAUAACUUAUGAAGUUUUCAAUUUGCAGGGAUAUAUCCGCAAUUUAUUAUGUUUGGAGGGACGUGUACGCAAAUAACCCGAAAAGAAAAAACAUGUAACUCUUUAACAUGACCUCACUGCUUACGUUUGAAAGAGCUAAUAAAUAAAGCCACUAGAACUUAAUUGCACUACAGCAGGUGGGUAUUUAAGCUGCAUUUGGUUCGGAUAUAAAUAAAAACAGCUUAUUUUAGGAACAAGUACAAGUUUAUGUAUAAGCAAAAAUUAAAUCAAUUUUUUGUUCAGAGGAAAAUUAGAUUGUUCUUGUGAAUAAAAUAAAUAGUGUUUGGAUAGUUAGAUUAGAGCAAGAGGAAUAAGAAUUAUAAUUCUAAAUUAAAAAUAUUUAUCUAAUUAAUUAACAUCAAAAUAUUAAUUAAAAAUAAUUUAAUAAAUUAAUAAGUUUAUUAGCUGUAAAUAUUGUAUAAGAUAAUAAAAGGAUAUUGAUCAACUAAUUAAAUAAAAAAAUAAUUUAAUUUUUUAAUUAGUUAGUAAAUUAUUGUAAUUAAAUAACUAGUAAAAAAUUAAUUAGAUUAAUAAAAAUAUUAAUGGUUGUUCAAUAUAAAUGUUAGUUUAUGGAUAAACAUAUUAAAUUAUUAAUAAUUAAUUAGUUAAUUAAUUACAAAAUAAUAAAUUAAUUAAUCACUUUAUUAUUUAAACAAUAAAUAAUGAUUUAAAUAUAAUAAUUAAAUUAGUUAAUAAUUUAAUACUGUAAUUAAAACUAAAUUUAAAUUUUAAUUAAUUUUGUUCCUACCCGGAAACAAAUUUGUUCGCGGAAAAAAAUGGUGGAACAAAUUUGGACCACCUUUCCUAAAGCUAGCUAGGGGGAUCGAUGACAUGCCCUUUGUUAGUACUGGAAAUGCUUCUUUCUUGUACUUCCGACAUGUUAAUCACAAGGACCAUAAAUUAAAUACUAUCAUUAAUUUAUCAAACAAAAUAUUAAUUAAUUGCUCUCCAAUUUGUCUGUUUGGCGGUUCUGAUGCACGGUAUAAUAUGCUAGCUGAGAUUAAUCUUUAAUCGCGAGAGAAGUACCAGCAUUCUUAACUAAUUAUAAUCUCCACAAACAGACGCAGAGCUAAUAUACUUUACAUCGACGAAACACAAGCAUACACACUACAUCGCAGCAAACAGUGAAGCAGAGUCGGAAGGCAAAGAUGAGAGCGUUGAGUACUCGAUCAAAGAUUCAUCACCAUCAGGUGGCCUUUCUCCUGCAGGCUCUUCACGGUCUCAUAGAGGCAUUGCAUCGCCGGCGUGAAUUCGAGGCCAAGGUCCUUCAACCGCUGGUUCGAGAACUUAUACGGUUGCUUUCGAGGAUUUAUCUCAUCUGAGCAUCUGCACAUAUAUGUAUAUACACACACACUCUUAAAACUUAGUAGUUACAAAAAUGUUAAUGAACAAUUAACAAUAAUUAACAAUAAUCUCAGGGCAUUUUAAUGAAAUAAUUGGAUUAUGGCCUAGAGAUUAGAGAGGGGGACUUCAGGUGACCUGGACUUAACUCAGUCCAACAAAUUUACAAGAAAAUAAAUGUAGGAUGAUGAUCCCUUGAAUAAAAUUACUAACUAUGUGGCCGUUUUAAUCGCCACGUAAUUUUGUUAGGCUUCAAAUUGCUACAAAAACUAUCUUAUUCCUUCAAAUUUUGAUAAUUAAGUAUACGAAUCAGAGAAUAAUUAAGUCACGCUCGACUAUAUAUCUUUGUUUUUUGUUGCUUUUUUCAUAAAUUAAAAAUAGAAAUGAUUUUCUUUGUAUUUAAAAUUUAUAUAAAAUUAUGCAACGCAUACACGGUCAAAACAGUUGUAUAAUUAGUAAUUUUGAUUAAAGAAAAAAGGCUAUAAAAUUCUUUGAAAAUUUUAAUAGAUCCAAUUGCCAAAGUCGGAGUUUAGAAAUCUUUAAAAAAAAAGCUAAAUUUCAAAAUGUGUUAAUACACUUUUUUUAAUUUACAAAAUUGUACCUAAACCAAAAAAAAAGAAAAGAAAAGAAAAAAAAAAAGCAUGACCUCAUUAACUAUGUCAUCACCUCACCUAUAACUCACUCAUAUUUGUUCCUGAAUAUAGGUCUUAUAUAUCAUUACCAUUUACUAUUCUUCUUUAACAUUCCAAUCAAAAUAGUACUUUAAUAAAGGAUCACAUGUAUAUAUAGUGAAUAAAAGUGAAAGAUGCCUUACUAAUUAAUAAAGUUACAAUCAAUCAAGUUAAAGCAGAGGCAAUAAUUGGUGGAAAAUGUUUUGCCUAGUUAGAUAUCACCUACCCAUAAUUAGUGACCACCACCACAUACAACACCAAAAUUUGGCAAUGAAUUACUAAUCAUCUUCCUUUAGAAUAUUGUUAUGGGUAGGAAAGAGAAAUGUUAGGAAAAUCCCCAACUACUGGCCAUUUUGAAAACCUUUAUGUAUCAUUUGAUGAUUUUACUUUGCCAAGUUGGUGGCCAAGUAAAAGCGAAACCAGUAUUUAGUUAGAACGUGUACAAAAUUAACUUACCAACUAUAUUAUGAUGAGAUACAGAGGAUUUUACUUGGUCACCGACGAUUCUUAUGUUUUGCAAAAUAAUUAUUGUUACAAUUAAUAGUUAUCAAUUGUAAUUGUACUUAUUGUUAGAAAGGAAAUAAAAUCUAGUAAUGCCUCUAUUGAACAAGCCUUAUAACUAAGAUAAAUGACAAAACAAAACUGAAACCUUAAUUUCAGUCAUUGAACACUUCUUUUUUGCUUUUAAAAAAAAAAAAAAAAAUGGAAUUGGAAGCUUGAUCUCCUACAACCCCAUCAAUCUUGAGUUCUCAAACUUUUAAUUUGUUGCAAUAUUUGACUCGAACUUUCAGAAUUAUUGCAAUCAAAUCCUAUAGCCCAAUUUUAGCAACUAAAUGUUGAUAAUCACUAAUGUAGGGAUAACGUAAUAGUGGUGCGAUUGAUGAUGCAUCAAUAAUUACGAUGUCACAUCACGUUACAUCAACGAUACAUUAAAAUUUGAUCAACUAAAUUGGAUUGUAAAACUUGAUUGCAAUAUUCUAAAAAUUCGAGUAAAAAAUUACUACAAAUUAAAGUUUGAGAAUCAAAGCGUUACCGACCACAUAGUUUGGGGACUUGUCCAUAAAUAAAUGAACAAUUAAGAUUAAACGUUUGGUUUCCUACCUAAGCCCCAGUAGGUUGGCAUAUUUUCUGUCACAUAAACUUGAUGAAUUAAACUCUUUUUGGAACUUUGGUUAGUUCCUUUUGUUUUUUCUCUUCAAGAAACAAAUUAGGUGACAACCUUAUAUCAGUUUGGUACAACCGAAUCAUUCACUUGUACAAUCUUUUUUUAUUAGUAGGGAAAACUUCAAAAACCCUCCCUGUGGUUUCACACUUUUUCAUUUUAGUACCAUGUGGUUUAAAGUUUAUCAAGUUAGUACCCUGUGAUUUCUCACUUUAUCACUUUAGUACCCUGUGGUUUAAAGUGUAUCAAGUUAGUACCCUGUGGUUUUGCACUUUAUCACUUUAGUACCCUGUGGUUUCACACUUUAUCACUUUAGUACCUUGUGAUUUAAAAAACCACAGGGUACUAACUUGAUACAAAUUAAAACCACAGGGNAAACAACGAUUUCAAGUUCUGUUUUGAUCUGUUGCAUCUUUUAAGAACACUUUCUCUAAAUAUUUUGUGUUUUCUAAGUUCAAGCCCUUCAUUCUUUGUUUCAUUAAUUGAUGUGUUAUUAUCUACUUAUCUCUUGGUAUUGCCAUUCUGGUUUCUGAAAAGCUUUAGUUUCUGUAAUUUUUGUGACCAUGCUAAUUCACUCCCAUGAUUUCCAUCAGGAGGGUUGAAGUGUAUAAGUAUUGUCAUCCAUUGAUACUCGACUGAUCUCAGUGUCGAAGCUCAGGACCUUAUGCUCUGAUAUUCAUUGCUCUGAUAUUCAUUGAUAUGACCAUGUUCGCAUGCAGCGUGUGUUGAUAAAUUUUUUGUAACAAAUUAGAUUAGCAAUAUAUCGUGGGAAAAAUUUUUGCUCCGACUGUGUAUUUCUUGUGGCGUGCAAGUGAACAAUACCUGACGUGACUAUGAAAAAGUUGUAAUGGAUUAUGAGAAUUGUAUUUUCCCUUUCCGGAAAGAGUACGUACAGUGAAAGCAAAAUUGUUUCUCUUUAAUUAAUUAGAUACAUGUUGUAUAAGUUUUGCGAAUUAUGAAUCUGAAUUUUGGUGUGUUUGUUCUCGCUACUGUGUUUUGUUUUAUUUUAUUAAGUGAAAUCUGUUUUCUUGCUUAGUCAAAUUAAAUGUUUGGCUUUGACAAUUCAAAAUGUUUUAUUUUAUCGUAAAGGGGUGUUUGGUUCCUCUGAAAAAAUAUUCUAGAAAAUAGUUUUAUAGCCGAAAAGGUGAACAAUAUGUGCUAGGGCUUUUUUUGCAUUUAGACCCCUGACAAAUUUUUAUUUUAAAAAUAGCCCUGUCAAAAUUUAAUUUGCAAAAAUGGCCCUCGACCUGCCACGCAGGCGCCACGUCAGCGCCACGCGGGCAGGGCUGUGCCCGUGUGUUAAGUUGAACACGGUGAACCAUUCACCGUGUUCAAACACGGUGAAUGGUUCACCGUGUUUAGUACGUAUUUUUUGUUACGUAUUUUUUGUAUAUUGAAAAGUGGAAUAAGGAGUAGGGAUGUCAAUAGAUAUGGAUAUCCGAAAUAUUAUUCGAAUUCAAACCCGAAUAAAUUAUAUAUAUAUAUANNNNNNNNNNNNNNNNNNNNNNNNNNNNNNNNNNNNNNNNNNNNNNNNNNNNNNNNNNNNNNNNNNNNNNNNNNNNNNNNNNNNNNNNNNNNNNNNNNNNNNNNNNNNNNNNNNNNNNNNNNNNNNNNNNNNNNNNNNNNNNNNNNNNNNNNNNNNNNNNNNNNNNNNNNNNNNNNNNNNNNNNNNNNNNNNNNNNNNNNNNNNNNNNNNNNNNNNNNNNNNNNNNNNNNNNNNNNNNNNNNNNNNNNNNNNNNNNNNNNNNNNNNNNNNNNNNNNNNNNNNNNNNNNNNNNNNNNNNNNNNNNNNNNNNNNNNNNNNNNNNNNNNNNNNNNNNNNNNNNNNNNNNNNNNNNNNNNNNNNNNNNNNNNNNNNNNNNNNNNNNNNNNNNNNNNNNNNNNNNNNNNNNNNNNNNNNNNNNNNNNNNNNNNNNNNNNNNNNNNNNNNNNNNNNNNNNNNNNNNNNNNNNNNNNNNNNNNNNNNNNNNNNNNNNNNNNNNNNNNNNNNNNNNNNNNNNNNNNNNNNNNNNNNNNNNNNNNNNNNNNNNNNNNNNNNNNNNNNNNNNNNNNNNNNNNNNNNNNNNNNNNNNNNNNNNNNNNNNNNNNNNNNNNNNNNNNNNNNNNNNNNNNNNNNNNNNNNNNNNNNNNNNNNNNNNNNNNNNNNNNNNNNNNNNNNNNNNNNNNNNNNNNNNNNNNNNNNNNNNNNNNNNNNNNNNNNNNNNNNNNNNNNNNNNNNNNNNNNNNNNNNNNNNNNNNNNNNNNNNNNNNNNNNNNNNNNNNNNNNNNNNNNNNNNNNNNNNNNNNNNNNNNNNNNNNNNNNNNNNNNNNNNNNNNNNNNNNNNNNNNNNNNNNNNNNNNNNNNNNNNNNNNNNNNNNNNNNNNNNNNNNNNNNNNNNNNNNNNNNNNNNNNNNNNNNNNNNNNNNNNNNNNNNNNNNNNNNNNNNNNNNNNNNNNNNNNNNNNNNNNNNNNNNNNNNNNNNNNNNNNNNNNNNNNNNNNNNNNNNNNNNNNNNNNNNNNNNNNNNNNNNNNNNNNNNNNNNNNNNNNNNNNNNUUCACACUUUUUCAUUUUAGUACCCUGUGGUUUAAAGUUUAUCAAGUUAGUACCCUGUAGUUUCUCACUUUAUCAAGUUAGUACCCUGUGGUUUUGCACUUUAUCACUUUAGUACCCUGUGGUUUCACACUUUAUCACUUUAGUACCCUGUGAUUUAAAAAACCACAGGGUACUAACUUGAUACAAAUUAAAACCACAGGGUACUAAAGUGAUAAAGUACAAAACCACAGGGUACUAACUUGAUACACUUUAAACCACAGGGUACUAAAGUGAUAAAGUGAGAAACCACAGGGUACUAACUUGAUACAUUUUAAACCACAGGGUACUAAAGUGAAAAAAAUUGAAACCACAAGGGGGGUUUUUGAAGUUUUCCCUUAUUAGUAUUAAUUUAACUUUUGUUUCCUUCAAGCGCAUGCAUGCGCAAAAGUGUUCUCUGUAAUAAAUAUUUCACACAGAAUUAUAUCAAGCCAAUACUAUUGAGAUGAAAAUACUUGGUUAAUUGUUGUUGUUUUUAUACAAAAUAUAUCCAUCUGUUACGAAGAAAAGUUAUUUCCCACUUAACCUUUCCACUCUCUGAAUUAACCAUCACUUCUCAUCCUAUAAUUUCUAAUACAGCUCCUUAGAAGCUAGCAAUUCUAUUGCAACCUAAAACAUAUGUAGAGAGGCCAACUGUUCCUAGCCCAAGCGACAAAAGUAUAUACAAUGGUUAGUAAUUGGGGAUCCCAGUUCGAAACAUAGUUAUUUUAUAGUAUGCUACUUUUUUAUUAAGAGAAAAAAAAAAAAGAGAGACAAAUUUAGAGAUGAGAAAUGCAUUUAGAGAUAUCAAUGGACACGGAUACGGAAAGUUUAUUUGAACUCAUACCCAAGCUUAGUAGAAUUAUUCAAUACUAAAUAAAUAUCAAUGGGCUUGGAUAUGAAUUUUUAUAUCCAUCAGAUUCGAAUUCAGUUUCGAAAUUUGGGUUUGAUAGUUGAGUUUAGAAACGAAUUCGAAUUUUUAAAAAUCCGUCUCAAAUCCGACCCAUUGACACUACUGCAUUGACAAUUAUUAUAUAUACCUGGUGGGGACGGGGUAUUCCGGGAAGAAUUUUCCGAGUAUCCGGACAACGUCCUCACGGUGGAGCACGCUCUCGGCGCACAGGUACCGUCCGGAGGCGGCGGGGGACUCGUAGACGCGCAGGUGGGCGUCGGCGACGUCGCGGACGUGGACGUAGGCCUGGACGGCGUUGGCGAAGGUGCGGGCGGAGCCGUCGAGGUACUUGAGCACGUGCGCGGUGCUAGCGUUGAUGCCCGGCUGCAGCAGCGGGCCGAGCACCAGCACCGGGUUCACCACCGCCAGCUCCAGACCCCGCUCCCGCGCCGCGUCCCACGCCGCCUGCUCUGCGGCAGUCUUCCCGUAACAAUACCAGUUCUAACCAUACCGUCACGCAUGCAUUCAAACAUAAAAUAAUAAUAAGAAUAAUAAUAAGUUCAGCCGUAAUUAACUGCAUACAAUUUUAGAAACUAACCAUAUGAUCUCGUACAUAACAACAGAUCGAAUUCGGAACGGAUUUUUAAAAAUUCAAACCCGAAUCCGACUCCAACCCUGAAAUUCGAACUCAAAUUCGAAACCGAUAAAUUUUAAAAAUCUAUAUCCAAAUCCGAUCCCGACCAAAAAUCUGGAAUCCGAAACAAUUAUUUCUUUUUUCAAUAUUUUAAAAUAUAUUACAUUAAAUCUAAAUUUUUAAAAUAUAAAUUCAAAUGUAACAUCAAACAUUUAUAUAUAAUAUUAUAUAUAAUGUAAAAUAAAUUUGGGUUUGGGUCGGGGUCGGGUUCGGGUCGGGUAUAGUCAAAAUCCAUAUCCGUCGGAUUUUUAUUUUUGAUAUUCAUAUCUAAAACCAUAUCUGUUUAGUAUAAAAUAAAUCCGCUCCAUUCGGGUUCAAAUUCAAAUAAAAUUUUGAAUAUCCGUACCCACUUACAUUCCUAGUUAUACAUACAAAUAUGAAAAAAAUUUAAGUGCAACUAUAUACAACUUUAGAUACUAAAAAGAUAAAUCUUUAUGUAACAAUACCAGCUCUAUCAUACAUACAGAAAAGAUAGGAAUAAUAAUGUAUUAUCCUAAAUAUUAUUUUCUGCAUGCAUUUUCAAUUUUACUUAGAUAUUUAAGUUUGAAAAAUUUUAUAUAAAUAGUAUUUUUACUCUUUUAAUUAUUAAAAAUAUUAUUUUUAUUGUAAAAUAUUUUUAAUAUUUUACUCUAUAUAAAGUAAAGUAGUUAAAACAAAUUAAUUAUUUUUCAUUUUGGUCAAAACCAAUAUUUCAAUUGACAGAAAAGUUGAGAUAUAAAACCACAAAAGUGUUUUAGUAAAAAGUUUAGGUCUUGUUUGAUACCGUUGUCGUUUUUUUUAUUUUUUUUGAACACUAUUUUUUAUAAUUUGAUGUGUUUAGUUUGUUAGCUUAUAAUAUAUUUGACUACAAUAAAUAGCAACUUAUUAGAAAAAUAAAAGUAAAAUUUUUUUUUUGCUAAAUAAAGUACUUAAUUUACAUGGAAAAAUUACUUAUAAUUCACAGUACACUCCUAUAGUUUUUAAUACCAAAAAAAUAUUUUAAAAAUAAAAAAGCGGACACCAUAUAUAGCAAAGGAGUCCUUAAUUUUUUGCUGUUGUUUCCAUAAUGGUUCUCCACGUCAUCAUCAUAUGCACCACAAGCUAUAAUGGUUCAUAGAGCUUCAUACUUUAAUCUCUCUAGUGUGAGUGGCAAACAUUUUACUGUUGUUCCUUAAUUUAAAUAUUCUAGCGAGUAUAAGUGAUGAGAAAGUGCAUGAGCUUCAAUUAAUGAUGUGAAUUAAAGCAUAAAGCUUGCUGCGUAGAAUGAAGUGGUGCACGUAAUUUUUGUUUAUAUCUUUUUGGGCAAAAAUGGCAAGUUUUUUUAAAGAGAAAUGCAAAGUUUACCUAGGACUCCUCGUUCAAGAACAAAUAGAAUCUAUUCACUUUAUUUUGAAAUUUUAAUUUUUUUUUAAAAAUUAUAUUUUUUAACUAUUUUUGUUAUUAUUAUACUUCCUAUAUAAAAAACAAAUAAAGAGAAAAAAAAGAAAAUUUAAUGUUUAGAUAAUCUGAAGAAAUAUUUGAGAUCUUUUAAACCAAAUUAAAAAAAGACAAAAUAAUAAAUACAUUAAAAAAAUUAAAAAAUUUUAAAUAACAAAUAAAUAAAAGUAAAAAUUGGUGAAACAACAGUAGCAAAAGUAGCUAUAGAUACAAUGAAAUUUAGAAUUGUAAAAGUUGAAAAAAAAUAUGCAAAAGUUAGCUCAAAGAAAAAUCAAUAGUCAAUAAAGAAUGAAGAAAAGAAUGAAAUAGAAUUAAUAGAAAAAGUUUUAAAAAAUGUUAUUAACCGACUGUCUCAAAAAUAUAUGACUGUAAUAGUACAAAAAUUGAUAGUAGUAAAGUAAAAAUAUAAUAUUCUUUUGCAACCCAGUUUUUUGCCGUUAGAUCUAAGCCUUUGAUCAUUUUCACCCGUUAGAUCAUAUUAUUCAACUAACCACCCACUCAAUCCUAGGGGGCCAAUAUUAACCUAAUCGGGGACCACUAUCAUCCUAACCGCAUAUCUCUUCAUCCAAUGGUUAGAAAUUUAGAAGUACAAAGUGGGCUAUACUCACAUGAGUAUAGUAGCCCUAGCCUAAAAGCAUUAUGAUUAGCACAAAAAAAAUACUUUAAAUAAUUAUUGCAAAAAUAUUUCUAAAUUGGCAAUGAAAUUAAAUUAUGUCAUAUAUAUAAUAGCAUUACGAUCAGGACCAGGAAAAAAAAAUUUCUAAAUUAUUCACAGCAACAAAUUGGAAGGCAAAAAAAAAAAANGAGGACCAGCCUCUCCGCGGCGCCGUCCAGCGCCUUCAAGUGCGCGUUCUUGGGGUCGUCUUCUCGCACCAAUCUCAAAGCGUUAAGUACCGUUCCAUCCCAUGCAACACCAAUCUUAAAGCAUUUCUCAUUUUCUAGCUACAUGCAUGCAUAUAUGCAUGCACGUAUGUAUAUAUAGAGAUAUAUAUAUAUAUAUAUUCAUAUGUACCUGGGUUACGUACGGUUCCUUUGACAGUGUAGCCCCUCUCCAAGAGGAGCUUGACGAGCCACGAUGCGAUGAAGCCCCCCGCGCCGGUGACGCACACGGUUCGGCCGUUUCCGGGGGCCGCUAAAGCCGUCGUGUCGUCGACGGUCAUGUCGUUUGAAGAUCUACCAAUUGAGAGCAAUUAAUUACCAAAAAAAAAAAAAGAAAGAAGAAGAAGUUUUAGAAGAGAAGGGUUAUUGCUUUGGUGGGAAACUAUGGUGGUGUAGUUGGAGAAAAAGGGAGAAGGGGAGGUGGUGUAUAUAUAAUAAGAAAAAGAAAGGUGGUGGGGCGUGUAGUGUAUAUAUAGAAGGUGAGAGUGAACACUACCUGUUUGGAUUCUCCCGAAUUUUAUAGCAGCAGAGUUUUUUUUUUUAUUUUGUACAAGCCAAUAUUGACAUCUGUAUAAAAGUGUGUGGAUGUUUUUCUAAAAAAAUGUCAAAAUGUAACAAAAAUAUCAUAAAAUACAAUAAACUUUUUGAAAAUAAAAAGAGCUCACAAUUAUAUAUGUUUUAUAAUUUUUUACUAUCAAAAUUUACCAAACUCAUAUUGCCCUUUCACAUAAGCACGGAAUGUUCUAGUAAUAAUAAUUAGUUUACGUAUUUUUAGUCGGGGGUUUAGAUACAAUAAGUUAUUAAUAAUUAUCUAUUAGAACAUUAAAUAUAUUAUAAGACAUUAUUAUACUACUAAAAAAUUUUAAUUUACUCAAAUAGAAGAUGGGAAAAGGGGGUAAGUAGGUAGCAUGGUUGAUUAAAUUUUGAUUUAUUCAAAUAGUGGGGCCCACUGUAAAAAUUGGAAAGAUUUUGAAGUUGUGGAUAUGGAAGCUAAAGAUUUGCAAGGUGAAGGAAAAAUAAGAAAUAAAAAAAUAAUAAAAAAAAAAGCAACAAUGCGCGGCAAUUUAUCAACCAGAGGAAAAUGCUUUAAUUUCAAAAAAGCGGGCACAAGGUGCAUCAUAUAUUUCGUGCGCCACAUCAUGGUUGGCAUUAAUUUUACAUCUACCCAUCUAACAGGUGUCAUUCUGUACUAAUUUUAUUAUUAUUUUUUAAUUAAAAAUUUAUUUAAUAUUUUAUGAAUCAUAGAGAGAGAGAGCUAGAGAGUCGGAAUCACCGUUAGAUUUAACCAUUUUAUUAUUUUUAUCCGUUAGAUUAUACUAUUCAACCAACAACUCACUCAACUCUAGGGUACCCAUAUUAUUCUAACCGUACAUUUCUUCAUCCAAAGGCCAAAAACCUAAUAGCACCAAUAACUUGGUGCUAUUAAUAACAUUCCGGCCUAUAUAUAUAUAUAUAUAUAUAUAGAGUGAGGCUACUAUGCUAUCGGAAGCACGGAGCCUUCUGUGCUUCCAGCUCGUUUUCGAUGUUACGACUUUCGAAUCGUCGAUCUGCUCCAUUAAACUUGAUCUAGACUAUUUGGAGUACCUAGAAAAUAAAUUUUAUUAUUUUUCGAUAUCAUUUGCCUAGUGAUCGAAUGAGCUCAAAAUCAAUAAAUUUCAAUGACCGUAGUGAGCCGUUUGCAAGUUUAACGGUAUAGAAAUAUCCAAAUCACGUGAAAUUUUGAUAGAAAAUUCUUUAUAAUAUAUAAAACAAGAUCAAUAUCUUUGAUUUAAAAUUUUAAUGUCAUAUUAUUACAUUUUGUAAGAUUUUUAUUUUCAGCCGUUGAUUUUGAGCCCCUUCGUUCACUAGGCAAAUGAUAUCGUAAAAUCAUAAAAUAUUCUCUAUGUACUUCAAUACUCUAGAUCAAUUACUCGGAACCGAUCGACGAUUCGAAAGUCGCAACAUCGAAAACGGCUGGAAGCACAGGAUGCUCCGAUGCUUCGAAAAAAAAGUGCCUCCUUAUAUAUAUAUAUAAAAUAUCUAUAUAUAUAUAAUAGUGGCGGUUAUGUCUUCUAAAGUACUGAGCCCGUUCCAUGCCUUUCAAGUUCUGUUCGAUAUUCGGUACUUAUCGACAUCGACGAUCGUCUCGCUGUUAGAGUUGAUUUUACGAUAUUUAUAAAUAACUCCAAGAAAAAUAAAUUUGCGAAUUUAUUCGAUAUCAUUUGCCUAGUGAUCGAAGGGGCUCAAAAUUAAUAAUUUUAACGGCCGUGGCAAGCCGUUUGCAAGUUGAACGGUAUAGAAAUAUCUAAAUCACAUGAAAUUUUGAUAGAAAAUUAUUUAUACCGUAUAAAACAAGAUCAAUAAUUUUGAUCUAAAAUUUUAAUGUCAUAUCAUCAUAUUUUGUAAGAUUUUUAUUUUCAGCCGUUGAUUUUGAGCCACUUCGAUCACUAGGCAAAUGAUAUCGAAAAAUCGCAAAAUUUAUUUUCUAGAUACUUCAAAUACUCUAGAUCAAGUCUAAUAGAGCCGAUCAUCGAUUCGAAAGUCCGAAUAUCGAAAACAACUUAGAAGCACGGAGCGCUUCGUGCUUCCAGAAGCAUACCAGACGCACUCACACACACACACACACACACACACACACACACAUAUAUAUAUAUAGUCCGGCCAGAAUACUAUCGAUAGCACCAAGCAUUUUGUGCUAUCAAGUUUUCCACCGUGAGAUUUAACCCUUUAACUAUUUUCACCCGUUAGAUUAUACUAUUAAACCAAUAACUCACUCAACCCUAAAGGGCCCACAUCAUCCUAACUAUACGAUUUUUAAUCCAAGAGUCGAAAACCUGAUAGCACUAAACGCUUGGUGCUAUUGAUAGUAUUCCAGCCUAGGUCUAUAUAUAUAUAUAUAUAUAUAUAUAUAUAUAUAGAGAGAGAGAGAGAGAGAGAGAGAGAGAGAGAGAGACUAUCGUGCUUUUGUAAAAGUACCAAUUAGCACAUGGUGCUUAUAUAUUUUUUACUGUUAGAUUUACGUCUUUUAUCAUUUUCAACCAUUAGAUUAUACUAUUCAACCAACCACCUACUCAACCUUAGGGGGUUCACAUUAUCCUAACCACACAUAUCCCUUAAUCCAAUGGCCAAAAAUCUACAAGCACCGUACUCGGUACUUUUAAAAGCAUAGUAGCUCAUAUACCACCCACUUAACCCUAGGGGGCCCAUAUCAUCCUACCCACAUAUCUCUUAAUCCAAUGACUAAAAAUCUACAAGCACCAAUAACUUGGUACUUUUGAAAGUAUAGGAGCUCAAUUUUAUAUAUAUAUAUAUAUAUAUAUAUAUAUAUAUAUAUAUACUUUUCAACCAAUUAACUACCUACUCAACCCUAGGGGGCCCACAUCAUUCUAACCGUACAUCCCUUAAUCCAAUGGCCAAAAAUCUAUAAAUACAAAUAACUUGGUACUUUUAAAAGUACUAGCCGAGCAUACGUGCAAAUGCACGUAAAAAUUAUUUUAAUUUAUUUUAAAUAUAAAGUUUUAUAUUAUAUUUAUUAAAAAAUUUAUAAUAAAAAUUAUAUUUUAUAAAUGAAUAUAUUAUAUUUUAUUAGAUAAUUUUUUUCAUAUAUGCAUUGAAUAUUUUUAUAUAUUUUUUGAAUUUUGAUAAAUUUAAA